rnacentral:lncRNA from 1 species
UUCUUCUUUCUUCGUGUCCAUUAUACAUCUAGUCUUUAGGCCUUCUAGGCUUUAUAGCCUUUGUAGCCAUUUGAAGCCCUUCUUUCUAAGAUACGGAGUGCAUGCUGGACGGAAUUCCAAGCACCGUGUCUUGGCAGCAAUUGGAGGUGGCCUUAUCUUCCUUUUGAUCUUUCAUGCUCGUCAUGAUUGUGUCUGGGACCUUAGAGCAUCUCCAGCUGUUCGGUCCUUCAGGGCGCCGAAAAACUGUGGCCUCGGGGUGAGCCGGCGCUAGUUCGGCCCCUGGGGGCGGCCGAGCUCCCAGUCACGCUCCCAGGCGCCGCCUCCCAGCCAUGGCAAAUUCAAACGUAGUCGUUCCCACGCCCAAAAUAGACGCCACAAUCCGGCGAUCAAGCGGCCAGUACAUCGGCGGUUGGAUGAAAAGUUUGGCGUACAAAAAGCAGAAAGGACGGAAGCGCGCAUCAGGCGGCGAGGUCGGCCUCCGGCGUCGGUGGAGUCGGCGUGCGCGGGCUUGACGGGGUCUCUGUGCUUGGCGGCGUGGCUUCUGUGCUGCGGGCAGUCUCGGCGGCAUCAUCGGUCGGGCUUGGCGGCGUCGCCAAGGUGCUAGAAGGGCAGUGCGCAACGGCGGAGAGUGGGCAUCGGGGAGGACGCGUACGCGGGCGGCGAGUAGUUGUAUGGACGGUACUGCACGCCGGUGAAGGCGUGCGAGGGCGUGCGCUGGGCCGGGUGUCUAUGGGGGAAAGUGACAUUUGGGUUGAACCCACCAUGCGCGUCCCCGUCGGCGUAGCCCGGCGACCCCCAUGGCUGCGGCGUCGGAGACCCGACGCCUUCCUGGCCCCAGGGCACGUACUGCGCGUGGUUGCCGGGCGGAUUCAUCAUCCCCGCGCGAGUCACGGUUCCCGCAGCGUGGGGGACGACGUACUUCUUCGGUGCCAUGGCGGCCGACUGGGAGGCGAGCGGGAGGGGGGAUGGCGGGAGGAAAGGAGAAAAUGGGAGGGAAGCGGGGAAAAGCGGGAAGAAACGGCGGGAAGAGGCGCUCUACUCGCUGACAGGCCGGACCCACGCGCCCUUUUCACUUGUGUCGGCGCCCCAGGCGCCCCCCAGGGCGCCGGGUUCUGUCUGGGUCCGUCGGCACCAAUUUCGGCCCGAGCCGGCGAAAAACGGGCUUCUGGGGGGGCGACUAGGCCGUUUUUUCGGCGCCGGCGCGGAAAAAACGCCUGGGGAGGGCCUGUUGGGGGCGCGGCUGGAGAUGCUCUUAUCUUCGGGAAUAUUGCAGCCUUCUGUUAGAAUAAAUCCAAGGCCCCAUCGAUCUACCGACGACCAAGCAAUCACACGAGGCAUGACACCAAGAUUUGUUAACGAGGUUCAUCAUCAUGGCUACAUUCCCGGAUCAUGACUACGAGCGCUCCUCCCCAUGACACCGCUACAAUACCGCACCUCUAGCCGCACGGGCGCCGGCACACACCGUCGGCUCCCCCGCGUGCCUGUGCUAUUAUGUUGGCAUAGGUUACAUCGUGUGUCUACCCCAAAAUAUAUGAGAGGUCUGGGAUACAAGUGUCCUACUAGGAGACGACUCUAUAUCCUAUAUAAACACAAUACAACUACAAGUCCAACUGUAACCUACCUUGUACACAAUAUUCGACACAACUCUAACAAACUUCACCUUGGCGAAUAUUCUCCACCAACAUGAAUUCAUCAAUGCGUCAAACUUCCAUGUACAUUGGACUUGAGCUUAUUCCAUGAGUACGGCUGCUACUCCAAAAACUCUAUAUGGCUCCACUACUAGUAGAAAAAGGGCCUAUAGUCCCGGUUGGUGAGGGCCUUUAGUCCCGGUUCAUGAACCGGGACUAAAGGAUCGGUACUAAUGCCCUGACCCCUUUAGUCCCGGUUCAAUCCAGAACCGGGACAGAAGGGCCUCCACGUGGCCUGUCCGCUGAGCCCAGGCAGGAGGGCCUUUGGUCCCGGUUGGUGGCACCAACCGGGACCAAUAGGCAUCCACNNNNNNNNNNNNNNNNNNNNNNNNNNNNNNNNNNNNNNNNNNNNNNNNNNNNNNNNNNNNNNNNNNNNNNNNNNNNNNNNNNNNNNNNNNNNNNNNNNNNNNNNNNNNNNNNNNNNNNNNNNNNNNNNNNNNNNNNNNNNNNNNNNNNNNNNNNNNNNNNNNNNNNNNNNNNNNNNNNNNNNNNNNNNNNNNNNGCGUCAGCAUUUCUAUGGCUGGGGUUUUUGUUUUUUUUAAGGGGGGGGGGGUUUGGGGGGUUUUAGGGGGUUAAUUUAGGUGUUUCAUAUAUUGUGCUAUAGCUAGCUAAUUAAUAGAGAGAAGUGUCAUCUCUUUUGUCCGUGCUUGGUCGACGCUACGUACCAUACAUACGUAUAGAGAGGACUAGCUAGACACGCUAGCUAGCUUGUAAGCAAACAGAAGAUCGUCAUGAACAUAUAUGCAUACAGAGAGAAGUGAUAUCGACCACCUCUCCUUCUCCGAGAGAUUGGUCGAACAACAAGUUCUCGUAUAUCUAUCCGACACUACCGGCUACAUAUAUACAAUAAUUAUCUUUUACAAAUAUAUAAUCUCCUAACAUACGGACGCGUGGUCCACAUAAUAUUCUCCGUCUUCAGCGAUCACGUGGUCAAGAAAGAAUGCCGCCAAUUCCUCUUGAAUUGCUCGCAUGCGAUCUGGUGCUAGGAGUUCAUCCCGCAUCCGUAACAUCUAAUUUUAAGAAGGGGGUCAAUACAUAUAUAUAUAUGAAUGAAUGAAACUCAACACAAAUGAUGGUAAUAAAAUAAAAUUGUGAAUAUUGUUAUUUACGCACUUCAUAUUGUUUGUCGGAGUAGCCCCGCUCACAGGUCGUGUGGCGGAUGGACUCGCAAAUGUAGUAUCCACAGAAAUCAUUCCUUUGUUCCUGCCACAACCACUUUACAAGAAAUAGAGGUCAAUCAAACUGAUAAUUAGCAAGCAUGCUAAAUGGUAUUGAUGAAACUAGCGCUUGAAUCACUAGGAGAUGCGUGGAAUAUGCUACUAUAUAGUGCUUACUUUCGGGUGCCUAAAUUGCAGCUUCUUCGGUAGUCCCGGAGCUUUUUUGGUGAAUUUUCUCCAAGCCCUGCCAUACAAAGAAAACAAUUACUUGAUAUCAGAAAUGAACAAAGUUGCUGAUAUGGUGGAUAAUGCUCGAUUUAACUUACUUCUCGAGCAUUUCAAUCAUGUCCGCAUACUGCUUGGGAUCUUUUCGCUUGGAGUCUAAGACAGUUACUACUCCCUUCUCAAGCUUAAUCUCUAGGAGAAUAUAGUGGUAGCUGCGCACACAUGCAUAACUCAUCAAUAUUACAUUACUAUAACCUGGACUAAUAAGGAAACCGAAUAUGCCACAAGACAGUAACACUCACUUGAAGUUGUAAGGAAAGAGUAUUAUAUCUUUGUGUUCAUUUAUUUCCAACGAUCGUAGCAAGUUGGCCUCGGUUUCUUGGGCACGAUAUUGAACCUCAGUUGCAUCUAUGAGAUACGUGUUAAUGAACCCAAUAUCUCCCACUUGUCUUUUCUUCAAUUCGGCGAUCUUCAAUCUGCAUAAUAUAGUGAGGAUAAUUAUAAAUACAUGCAAUGAAAGGGCUGAGUUAUAUAGAGAGACUUAAUGACAGAAGUAGUACUACUUACAGACAGUAGCAGGUGACCGUUGCUUUAUCGAUGACCAAUUGAUUGAAAAAUUGAUAGUGUUGGGGAACGUUGCAGAAAAUUAAAAAAUUUCCUACAGUUUCACCAAGAUCCAUCUAUGAGUUCAUCUAAGCAACGAGUCAAGGGAGAGAGUUUGCAUCUACAUACCACUUGUAGAUCAAGUGCGGAAGCUUUCAAGGGGAUGGUGAUGAGGGAGUCAUACUCGCCGUGAUUCGGAUCACCGACGACCAAGUGCUAAAAGGACAACACCUCCGCGUUCAACACACGUAUGGGACGAUCGACGUCUCCUCCGUCUUGAUCUAGCAAGGAGGAAGGAGAGGUUGAGGAAGACAGCUCCAAUGGCAGCACGACGGCGUGGUGCAGUUGGUGCAGAAGUUCUCCGACAGGGCUUUGCCAAGCUUGCACGGAAGAGGAGAGGUGUUGGGAAGGGGAGGGGCUGUGCCUUCAAUUGUGUGUUGCAGCCCUCCCCUCACCCCUCUAUAUAUAGGAGGAGAGGGGCAAGAGGGGCCGACCCUCUAGGGGAAACCCUAGAGGGGGGCGGCGGCCAAAGGGAGAGGGGAAGAGGGGUGGCUUGCCCCCCAAGCUAGGGGGCGCCUCCUUUAGGGUUUCCCCCUCCCUUGCCCUAGCCGCAUGGGCCUAGGUGGGGAGGCGCGCCCAGCCCACUAGGGGCUGGCUCCCUCUCCCACACAGCCCAUGUGCCCCCCCGUGAGGGGUGGCCCCUCCCGGUGGACCCCCGGAACCCUUCCGGUGGCCCCGGUACAAUACCGGAAUGCCCCAAAACUUCCCGGUGUCCAUUUAACCACUUUCCAUAUAUAAAUCUUUGCCUCCGGACCAUUCUGAAACUCCUCGUGACGUUCGGGAUCUCAUCCGGGACUCCGAACAACAUUCGGUAAUCACAUACAAGUCUUCCUAAUAACCCUAGCGUCACCGAACCUUAAGUGUGUAGACCCUACGGGUUCGGGAGACAUGCAGACAUGACCGAGAUACUCUCAGGUCAAUAACCAACAGCGGGAUCUGGAUAUCCAUGUUGGCUCCCACAUGCUCCUCGAUGUUGUCAUCGGAUGAACCACGAUGUCAAGGGUUCAAGCAACCCCGUAUUCUAUUCCCUUUGUCAGACGGUAUGUUACUUGCCCGAGACUCGAUCGUCGGUAUCCCAAUACCUCGUUCAGUCUCGUUACCGGCAAGUCACUUUACUCGUACCGUAAUGCAUGAUCCCGUGACCAGACACUUGGUCACUUUGAGCUCAUUAUGAUGAUGCACUACCGAGUGGGCCCAGUGAUACCUCUCCGUGACACGGAGUGACAAAUCCCAGUCAUGACCCGUGUCAACCCAACAGACACUUUCGGAGAUACCUGUAGUGCACCUUUAUAGUCACCCAGUUACGUUGUGACGUUUGGUACACCCAAAGCACUCCUACGGUAUCCGGGAGUUACACGAUCUCAUGGUCUAAGGAAGAGAUACUUGACAUUGGAAAAGCUCUAGCAAAACGAACUACACGAUCUUGUGUCAUGCUUAGGAUUGGGUCUUGUCCAUCACGUCAUUCUCCUAAUGACGUGAUCCCGUUGUCAAUGACAUCUGAUGUCCAUAGUCAGGAAACCAUGACUAUCUGUUGACCAACGAGCUAGUCAACUAGAGGCUUACUAGGGACGUAUUGUAGUCUAUGUAUUCACACAUGUAUUACGAUUUCCGGACAAUACAAUUAUAGCAUGAAUAAAAGACAAUUAUCAUGAACAAGGAAAUAUAAUAAUAAUGCUUUUAUUGUUGCCUCUAGGGCAUAUUUCCAACAGAUAGAACUCCUCAAAUGGAAUAGGCAACAGUUCAAUUCCAAGGAGGUCAUGCUCCUUUUUAACUCUCACAUACAAAGUACUCUUCCCCUUAGACUCUGUGCAGGUUUUCAUGUACCAAUCAUGCAAUCUUCGCAUCAUCGUUGAUAGAGAACUUUCAUAUUUGACGAGAGUCUUCCCGUACUCGUAUCUUUGUAUCUGCACCUCCAAGAAAUCAUAAUGUACAUCGUCGGGCAGGUAAUCUGCAGGAUUGCCAUAACCGGGCACCAUCCUCGGAUCGACGAUGUCGCUAGCAGGCACCUUGAGCGGGGGGCACGAUUGCUUCGCUUGUUCGCCGAGCUGGGCAAUUUGUUUCCCAGCUCGUCGUUCUUUCAUCCUUUGAUCACUUUUAGUACUUCCCGACCUCUCCGCUUCGGCAAAUGCCUUUCCAAUAAUGCGCUCAUAGUUGCCUUUCGGCGGAGACUUGGAUGGUUUUGUCAGGGCAGCCAGAGUGCGCUUCGCUUUCACCGGAUCUACCUUCUCCUCCGGAGGUGGAUGUCUCUUUACUUUCAACCCUUGAAACCAGUCAUCCACUUCGGUCUGCGCGAUCUUCGCGUUUUCCUCCUCGCUCCUCUCGUACGGUAACUUCUCUGGAGUCUUCAGAGAAGGACCAAAUCUGUAUCUCCUCCCGCCUUUGGCUGUACUGCUAGACGCCGACAGAGCAGACGGAGCGGAUGUCUUCUUUCCUUGCUUACGAGGCGGAGGAGAAGGACUACGACGCGCCGGAGCAGCCGGAGCGACGGCGGGUCUCUUCCGCCCUUGCUGACGAGGUGGAGAAGGAGGAGGCUGGCUGCUCGGGCGCGCCGGCGCAGGUGGAGAAGGAGGCGGAGUGCCGCCACGCGCCGGAGAAGGAGCCGGCCAAGUGCCCUGAUUGUGCUCUUUUCAUCUUGGUCAAUCGUGUAAAAUGUAUUCCCAUUUAUCUCGUAUCCUUUCCAAAUCAUUACAGUCGAAGAUGGUCCCCUAGACAACAAGUACAGCUCAUCACAAACAGUGUUGUCACCUCUGAGACGUGUUUCCAACCAACUGCUGAAAGUCCUGAUGUGUUCACAUGUAAUCCAGUCGUCGCACUGCUCCGGGUGUUUGGAGCGCAGACUGUUCUUGUGUUCAUCGACAUACGGGGUCACCAAGGUAGAGUUCUGUAGAACUGUGUAGUGUGCUUGAGACCAAGAAUAUCCGUCCCUGCAUAUUAUUGAGUCCCUUCCAAGCGUGCCUUUUCCAGUCAGUCUCCCCUCAUACCACGAUUUAGGGAGACCUAUCUUCUUAAGGCCAGGAAUGAAGUCAACACAAAACCCGAUGACAUCCUCUGUUUGAUGGCCCAUGGAGAUGCCAUCCGCGCUUAAAGCAAACCAUACGUUCCUUGGGUCCUUUGCAAACUCAUCCUAGUAUUUUCUCUCAAUUUUUCUCCACUGCGACCCGUCAGCGGGUGCUCUCAACUUCCCGUCUUUCUUACGGUCCUCACUGUGCCAUCGCAUCAACUUGGCAUGCUCUCCGUUUCUGAACAGACGUUUCAACCGUGGUAUUAUAGGAGCAUACCACAUCACCUUCGCAGGAACCCUCUUCCUGGGAGGCUCGCCGUCAACAUCACCAGGGUCAUCUCGUCUGAUCUUAUACCGCAAUGCACCGCAUACCGGGCAUGCGUUCAGAUCCUUGUAGGCACCGCAGUAGAGGAUGCAGUCAUUAGGGCAUGCAUGUAUCUUCUCCACCUCCAAUCCUAGAGGGCAUACGACCUUCUUUGCUGCGUAUGUACUUUCGGGCAAUUCAUUAUCCUUUGGAAGCUUCUUCUUCAUUAUUUUCAGUAGCUUCUCAAAUCCUUUAUCAGGCAUAGCAUUCUCUGCCUUCCACUGCAGCAAUUCGAGUACGGUACCGAGCUUUGUGUUGCCAUCUUCGCAAUUGGGGUACAACCCCUUUUUGUGAUCCUCUAACAUGCGAUCGAACUUCAGCUUCUCCUUUUGACUUUCGCAUUGUGUCCUUGCAUCGACAAUGACCCGGCGGAGAUCAUCAUCAUCGGGCACAUCGUCUGGUUCCUCUUGAUCUUCAGCAGCUUCGCCCGUUGCAGCACCAUCGUGCACAUCGUCUGGUGCAUCUUGAUGUUCAAUAGCAUCACCGUAUUCAGGGGGCACAUAGUUGUCAUCGUACUCUUCUUCCUCGCCGUCUUCCAUCAUAACCCCUAUUUCUCCGUGCCUCGUCCAAACAUUAUAGUGUGGCAUGAAACCCUUGUAAAGCAGGUGGGUGUGAAGGAUUUUCCGGUGAGAGUAAGACUUCGUAUUCCCACAUAUAGGGCAUGGACAACACAUAAAACCAUUCUGCUUGUUUGCCUCAGCCACUUCGAGAAAAUCAUGCACACCCUUAAUGUACUCGGAGGUGUGUCUGUCACCGUACAUCCAUUGCCGGUUCAUCUGCGUGCAUUAUAUAUAAUUAAGUGUGUCAAAAUCAUUACAGAACAUCAUGAAUAGAUAAUUAUAAGUGACCAAAUUAAUAGAAGUUCAUCAUCACAUAAAAACCAAAUUACAUACAUAGUUCUCAUCUAACAACAUAAAGCUCUGCAGAGCAUCUAAGUUAAUUAAACCAUACAUUGAAACUAUGUAAAACAUUUCAAUGCGAAAACAAAUGUGAUCAUAAUCGCAACCAAGGUAACAACUGAUCCAACGUCAUAAUGAUACCAAGCCUCGGUAUGAAUGGCAUAUUUUCUAAUCUUUCUCAUCUUCAAGCGCAUUGCAUCCAUCUUGAUCUUGUGAUCAUCGACGACAUCCGCAACAUGCAACUCCAAUAUCAUCUUCUCCUCCUCAAGUUUUUUUAUUUUUUCCUUCAAGAAAUUGUUUUCUUCUUCAACUAAAUUUAACCUCUCGACAAUAGGGUCGGUUGAAAUUUCCGGUUCAACAACCUCCUAGAUAAAUAAAAUCUAUGUCACGUUGGUAGGCAUAAUUUUCAUAAACAAUAAAUGAACCAAUAGUUAUGAAAAGAUAAUGUAUACCACAUCCGAAUCAUAGACAGGACGAGGGCCGACGGGGGCGGAUACCAAAACCAUCGCACUAUAUAAGAUGCAAUAAUAAAAGUAAGAAAAUAAUACAAGUAUCUAUCUAAACAUACAAGUAAGAAUGUUUUCCUUUCAGAAAGAAGAUAAGAACAAGAGGCUCACCACGGUGGUGCCGGCGAUGAGAUCGGCGCGGGUGAUCGACGGCGGUGAAGACGGGGACGGGGCGUGACGAACCGCUAAACCUAGAUCAAUCUUGAGGAAAACGGAGCUUGGCGGUCGAGCUUGGAGAGGAGAAACCUUAAAUACUGUGGCUCGGGCAUUCCAUCGAACACCUUGUGUGCAUAGGAGGUGAGCUAGAGCACCACCAAGCCCUCUCCCCCUCGGCCAGAAAAAAACAGAGCACUGUGCUCUGCUCUUGCGGGAGAGGGUAUAUAUAGGCACCACUAUUGGUCCCGGUUGGUGGCAUGAACCGUGACUAAAGGGAAGCCUUUGGUCCCGGUUCAUGCCACCAACCGGGACCAAUAGUGGUGGGCCAGGAGCCAGGCCCAUUGGUCCCGGUUCGUCCCACCAACCGGGACCAAAAGGUCCGGACGAACCGGGACCAAUGGCCUACGUGGCCCGGCCGGCCCCCUGGGCUCACGAACCGGGGCAAAUAGCUCCAUUGGUCCCGGUUCUGGAUUGAACCGGGACUAAUGGCCUGAACUGGCCUGGGCCAUUGCCCCCUUUUCUACUAGUGCACCAGUAACUUGUUGUCCCUUCUUUUCUCGACCACAGUCAACACUCGAGCAAAGUUAAAUUCCUUGUUACUCUAGUUUGUGCAAUCAACCUCCAGAGUAUCAGUCGAAUGCUAUCACUCACUGAUCACUGACAUGCGUGAAAGUGGACAACUCACAUAUUGGGUGACACACAUAAGAGUUAUCUGAACUCAGCAUCACCGCUCUUCUUUGACCGCCUGUCUGAAACUUGAAGGAAUUUCACCUUUGCUUGUAGUCAUCCCGAGUCAAAUUUGCAGUUGUCUCACCACAUGUAUGACCACCGGAGCCCUAGCCCGUCUCCAUGCCCGUGCGUACGCACGCCUCGCCGCUAUUACUGCGUCGAGCCUCCGCUGUCCUGGUCGAGUCUCAAGGGUCGCGAACCAACACCACUCAACCCCCACUGCAGAGUACCACCGACCAUCACCGACCGAUGACGAGUUUCACGGUUCCAUCAUACCACUGGGCUCGAGUCCAAACUGCAUGUCACUCGCUUUUCCCGCUGAAAUAGGCUUAGACUCUCUGAGCUCUUACGUCGUAGCCCCUCAAUCAGCAUCCAGUGAAGUCUUCCAGACUCCAGCUCCACCUUCAACAUGACUCCAUGGUAGAUGAUCAGUUCACCCUUGCGCCCCGUUGACUUCAAGCUUCGUGUGCACCAUAUUGAAUCAACCCCGCGCCAUAGUCUUGUCGAAGCCGCACAAGCCCUCGGGCCUGCGCCACGUGUUUCCACGCCACAGAAGUUGGUCACCACUAGCAUCACGCUCCUAUGUCGCCAUCGCCGAUCACACAACUGUCUUCUGUUCGAACCGACUCACGUCGAUCCGUCGGAUUAUCCAGUCCAACCCAGCCGAAUAUGUCCGACUACAUGACACGCUCGAGGCUCUCAAAUCAUCUUCCAAGAUUUUCCAUCCAUCACAUGAUAAUUCCAUCUUAGCUGACAUGACUCCCCGCAACGCCUUCAAGCAUCCCCAUUGUGCCAACAAAUCUUUCACCAUUGUCUGCCAUAAAUCGAGGUUUUCAGUUCCGUGAACUUCUCCACCUCAAACCUGGUACCCGUUGGCGCUAUGGUUCUUUGUACGGCUGACCCUGUGAAAAAUAACCGAGCAGUCUUCCCGUAAUCCCAAGUGCACAAACGGAACCUUCGUGUACUACUAGCGAUUCAACUAGCUGGUCUUCACGUGACGGCUCUUGCUUUGGCUCAAACCACGAUGCUACCUUUUGCUUGCCAACUCCCUUGCUAAUUCCUCUGGAUGCAUAUCACCACGAUGGAUUUUCUCUUCCGCUGAAUCGAUCUGUCACCUGCCUCACGUACGUAGCCCUCCGAUUCCAACUCGCUAUCGGCCACCUCUGCCUUGGCCCGCCAGCGCUAACCCAUGGUCUAGAUCACGUCCUAACCACGCUGGCCCGCCUCGGCUUCCUGCGCGCACGGUUCAACAGCGCAAGACUCCGCUGCCUGCACGUUCCGUCGCCGCAGCUACGCCAACGCCUUGAUCUCGCCGAUACUCGUCUUGUGAACCGAUCGCUCCUGUUUUGGCCUAGAUCGUGUUGCUGCUCUCUGAUGUCUUGUCUCGCGCGAUCGGCGAAGAUCCUAUAGACUAGGCCAACGACCAGCUUCUACGAUCUCUUCAAAACCUCCUCCUUAGAUCAACUCGACCGCCUCCCGGAUCUUUUUAACCUUGCUCACGAUAACACUUGUUAGAAUAAAUUCAAGGCCCUCGUCGAUCUACCGAGGACCAAGCAAUCACACAAGGCAUGACACCAAGAUUUGUUAACGAGGUUCAUCAUCAUGGCUACAUCCCCAGGACAUGACUAUGGGCGCUCCUCCCCAUGACACCGCUACAAAUACCGCACCUCCGGCCGCCCGAGCGCCGGCACACACCGUCGGCUCCCCCGCGUGCCUGUGUUAUUAUGUUGGCAUAUGGUACAUUGUGUGUCUACCACCCCCGAUAUAUAUAAGAGGCAUGGGAUACAAGUGUCCUAUUAGGACACAACUCCAUAUUCUAUAUAAACACAAUACAACUAUCCAACAGUAACCUACCUUGUACACAAUAUUCGACACGACUCUAACACCUUCUGGUAUGCAUAUGCAUGUACAUUUGGUUGCUUAUAUGGGUAUGAAGACAAACUUGGAUGCCAAUAUGCUGGCCAUCCAUUCUUAUAUUAUUUUUAUUUUUAUUUAAUUAAUAUAUUUAAUUUUUGCAAGGGCGGGGGGGCUUAUAUAUAUAACAUGAAGGAACCCACCAUGCUCAUGUAUGUGGAAAGCAAUCCUACCAAAACUCUCAAUUUGCAACAAAUAGCGCACUUGUGAUGCAUCGUUUGUCACCACCAAUGGAGGUGGAAGUAACAUCAAAGGAUACCCCUUAAGUAGUGAUUUGAAUAUAUACUAGCAAAAGAGCCCGUGCGUUGCAACGGGAAAGAAAACAUAACACAUACUCUUAACCCAACAACCAUCACCCAAGACCACAAUAUGUCCAUCUUCUUUAUUUUUGAAAGGCAUCAUAUUUGUGUUGCCGCUUAUCCUCCUUCGCACCCUCGCCGGUAAUGACCUCGGUGUUCACACAAAAUAAAAAAGACGUGUUUGAAUAUGUUUAAUCCUAAGGUGUCUCUCUCUCUCCUUCUCUCCUCUCUCUCUCUCUCUCUCUCUCUCUCUCUCUCUCUGUCACUCCCGUGAUGAGAAAUCUGUUGUUUUUCCUUGCGACAUUUCUCAGAGGUAUGCAUGUGUAGUUAUCGAUGUUUUCUUUUUCCUUAUAUUCUUAUAGUGGGGUGUUUAUUUGCAAUCCCGGUCGGAUCUUACGCUAUAAAUUAUAAGUUUGCUCCCAAAAUGAUAUUUUAAAAAUAUUUAACAGGUAAAAUUAACAUCAUAUUUAGAUUCCACAUAUUUUUCUAAUAAAAUUUCAUAUAUAAUAUGUUAAAAUGGAAGUUACGGUUUAAAAGAUACGGAUAAUUUAGAAAAUCAUUUAUGGUCGCCGACGGUAUGAAAGGAAAACGGAUCUUACGUUAUAAAUUAUAAGUUUGCUCCCAAAAUGAUAUUUAAAAAAUAUUUAACAGGUAAAAUUAACAUCAUAUUUAGAUUCCACAUAUUUUUCUAAUAAAAUUUCAUAUAUAAUAUGUUAAAAUCGAAGUUACAGUUUAAAAGAUACGGAUAAUUUAGCAAAUCAUUUAUUUGACUUAAAUAUAUUUAAAAAUACUUAACAGGUGAAAACAAUCUCAUAUUCAUAUUCUACAUAUUUUUCUAAUCAAAUUUCAUAUAUAACAUGUUCAAAUCGGAGUUACGGUUUAAAAGAUAUGAAUGAUUUAAAAAAAACAUUGUUUGACUUAAAUAUGAUCCGUGGAUGAAUUAUCUAAAACAUCAAGGGGGGUUUCGAAAAAUGUAGAAUAACGGUUCGGGUGUGACUUAAAUCCGGACCGCUGGUUGAUUUCAACAGAACACAGGGACUUUUGUGUAAAAUAUGAAAAAACGAUUCGUAUUAACUUAAAACAGGAAUGCAUGUUGAAUUUUCUGAAAUAGAGGGACUUUUCUGAAAAAUGUCAUGACGGACGAAAGAAACCCAAUUUGCUUUAUUAUUAAAAAAAAUUAAAAAAAAAUAGGUAAAGAUAUCAUAUUCAUGUGUGUCAGCACGCAUCGCAGUAAGUACUCGUUGCGCGGGUCCCAUGUUAGGUAAGCAAAAAAGAAAACUCCAAAUGGUCUGAAAGGAUGUGUUUAAUUCUUUUCUCGCUUAUAGCAUGAGGAGAUAUGCCUUGCCUUUGGAGAGCGUCAAGUGGGCCUAGCAUUAGUCUACGUUUGUUCAUUUUUUAUUUAUGUUUACAUUCUGAAAUAUUUCAAAUACAAUAUUCCAAACUUUAUUUUACUCAAAAAAAUAACAUUGUUUAUCACACAUUUUAAAAAUGUUCAUGCAAUGUAAAACAAAUGUUCAUGUAACUUUUACUUGAUAGCUUUAAAAAAUGUUUGUGACAUUUAGAAAAUUUUCACGCGUUUCAAAAAUAUUUUCAUAACAAUACUUGAAAAAUAUUCAUAUAACAUAAUAUUUUACCCAAAUUUAAAAGAUAAUUCAUAAUAUUUAAAAAAUAUUGACAAUUAAAAAAUCUUAAUGCAUACCAAAAAUAUUUGUGACAUUAAAAGUUAAAUUUAUAUUGGCUCAUUUAAAAAAAUAUAUACCAUUCAAAAAAGUAUUUACGUGACAUUUAAAAAAGAUGUUUGCACGUUUGGAAAAUAUAUAUNNNNNNNNNNNNNNNNNNNNNNNNNNNNNNNNNGCCCCCUUCCACAUUAGCUGGAUCCGGUGUCUUGAGAUUACAGAUAACUCGGCAAAAGGUUUAUACUUUCUAGUUAAUCUGUAAAUUAUGACUUAUGCAUAUAUACUCGGUUAAGUCAUUAUAGUAGUCCAUUUCGAGUGUAUAGAAAUUGAAUCCAACAUAUGUAUUCUAUUAAGGAUUCAUAUGUAAGCAUACAUACUCUUUUAAUGUAGACAAGGAUCGAGUACCUGCAUAGUGCAUGCACACCGCCUAUCAUCCACUUGGACAUCAAGACGAGCAACUUCCCGCUGGACAAGUAGAUGAGAGUGAUGGUCUCUGACUUUGGGCUGUCGAAACUUGUUGCAGAGAAGUCCCACACGUCCACCAAUGUUCACGACAUGCUGGGCUAUCAGGAUCCAUAGUCACUGCUCACAUUCAAAUUGCAGUUUUAGUUUGCUACUGCAAUACAAACUACAAUAUGCAGACGAAGAUUCAGAGAAACAUACACAUGGUAGGUUUGUUAACUUGACAAAAUAGUGGGUACGGUGUACGUGUAAAGUAUUAGUAUUCUUGACAUGAAUUCAUGCUAUUUACCAGUACAUGUGUCUUUUCUCUCAAGACAAACUGUAGUAGGCCGGGAGGGGGGCACCGCCCCCCUACCCUCAAUGGAGUUCGUACUUCCUAUCGGGGUUUAGCCCUCCUGGGCAUUUAGGUUCUCGGGUCUUCAAGAGACCUCGCCAGCAUGUCCAAAGGGUUAAUGUGCUCACGCUACAAUGUUAUGCUCGGUCGAUUCAAGCCAAAAUAGCAGCCGAGUUCCGUCUGGGUACCUGCUUGUGUCCAUCUUUGCGCUGCAGAAUGAAAGACAAUAAUGAUCAAUGAAAUGCAAAAGGUAUGAACUAGUUUUACAUGGUUAGGAGGUCUAAAAGGUAGCAAGGCACAUGGCAUCGCAAAAUUCCUAACAAAAGAGUGAGUAGCAUGUAUCAGUCACUAUCCAUUAUGUUUUGUUAGAUAACCUACAAUUUUACAGAUAAAUUAAAGAUAGCCGGAGGAAAAUUCCAAAAAUUUGCUCAUCACCACGCCAAAGAUUAACAGCUAGCUCCACAUGUAAGACAAUAAGUUUUGGGGAACCAGCACAACCCUCUAGGGGUGGCUUAUCUCAUUAUAUAUAAUGGUUGUGUUACAAUAUGUACCAUAUACGUACAUAGGUACAGAAGCUAUACAUAGUCUAACACCCUCCCUCAAUCUUAGCCACUUUCUAAAGAACUGAGAAGGGUAAGAUUGCGCCUACAAGCCUCAAACUGUGGCAGCGGUAAAGGCUUAGUGAAGAUGUCUGCAAGUUGAUCCUUAGAUGAGAUAAACUUGAUCUGGAGUUGCUUCUGUGAUACACGUUCCCGUACAAAGUGAUAGUCAACUUCAAUGUGUUUCAUUCGGGCAUGAAAUACUGGAUUUGCAGAAAGGUAUGUAGCACCGAUGUUAUCACACCAAAGAAUAGGAGGCUGUGGUUGAGACAAACCCAACUCCUGAAGCAAAGACUGCACCCAAAUAAUCUCUGCAAUAGCAUUAGCCACAGCCUUGUACUCAGCUUCAGUACUGCUACGUGACACAGUAGCCUGUUUCCGAGCACUCCAGGCGAUCAAAUUAGAGCCAAAGAAUACUGCAUAACCCCCCGUGGAUCGCCUGUCAUCUGGGCUACCAGCCCAAUCUGCAUCAGAGAAGGCCGAAAGGACCCGAGAGGAAGUCGGCCGAAUAUGCAUACCAAAUGUCAGGGUGAACUGAACAUAACGAAGAAUGCGUUUAACAGCAGCCCAAUGAGUAUCUCUGGGAGCCUGAAGAUACUGACAAACCCUGUUAACAGCAUAAGAGAUAUCUGGUCUCGUGAUCGUCAAGUACUGAAGUCCACCAACAAUGCUCCUGUACUCUGUGGCAUCCGCAGGAGACAAAAGCUCACCAUCAACAGCUGUUAUCUUGUCGGUAGACGACAUGGGUGUGGUGGUCGGUUUGCACUUCAGCAUGCCAGCUCUCUGUAACAACUCCAAGGAGUACUUCUUCUGCGUAAGGACAAGACCAGUAGCAUGAGAAGUGACCUCAACUCCAAGAAAGUAGUGAAGCUUCCCAAGAUCUUUGACCGCAAAAUCAGCACCAAGAGAGCAGACAAGAGCAUCAGCAGCAUACUGAGAAGAGCUGACAAGGAUAAUAUCAUCGACAUAUACCAAAAGAUACAUAGUGACUUCUAGCUUCUGUAGAAGAAAUAAUGAAGUGUCAGCAGUAGACGGCACAAACCCAUGAGCACGAAGGGCAGAGGCAAGGCGGGCAUGCCAGGCACGAGGAGCUUGCUUCAAACCAUAUAGUGCUUUGGAAAGACGACAGAUAUAGUUAGGACGUUCAGGAUCAGAGAAACCAGGCGGCUGUUUCAUAUAAACCUCUUCCUCAAAAAUCCAUGUAGAAAAGCAUUCUGCACAUCAAGUUGACGAAGUGACCAACCACGAGAAACAACAAUGAAGAGAAGAAGCCGAAUAGUGGUAGGCUUGACGACAGGACUGAAGGUGUCCUCAUAGUCAAGACCAUGACGCUGCCGAAAACCGCGAGCAACAAGUCGCGCUUUGUAACGCUCAAUAGAUCCAUCCGAAUGCUUCUUCACUUUGAAUACCCAUUUUGAGUCAAUAACAUUUACCCGUGGUGGUGGAGGAACGAGAGUCCAUGUCUUGUUACGAAGAAGAGCAUGAAACUCCUGCUCCAUAGCCUCUCGCCAAUGUGGAAUGCGCAGGGCAGCCUGAUAUGAGCGAGGCUCAGAAGAUGGAUCCGCAACAGCAGCAGCCAAACAAGAAGCCAACCAAGCAACCGUACCAUCCUUACGUUCCUUAGGUUUGAAAAUGCCACUGCGACUGCGUGUAUGUGGUCGGGACACAGGAACCACCGAGGUCGACGGAGCAGCCUGCAACGGGCUGGAGGACGGCGACGUUGACGAGUCAGCCGGUGACGAGGAGCCAGUCACGGUAGCCUCGGACUCGGUUGGCGAAGAAGGCCGACCCACCGGCGAAACCGGCAGAGCAGACGAAGCAGCUGGCGACUCCGGCAUCACAGACCGGGCCGAUGGCGAGCUCGGCAUAGUGGGCCGUGGCGCGGCCGGUGUCGCGGGCCGAUCCGCUGAUGAAGGCGAUGUGAGGACCCGAGCCGCGGGCGAAGACGGCGUGACGGGCCGAGCCGCGGGCGACUCGGCGGCCGCUGGCGAAACGGACCGAGCAGUGGAGAUGCUCGGCGCGACGGGCUCGUCGGGUGACCAUGCAUGGGCACGCGAAUCGAUGCCAUGCAACAUAGGGCGAUCGACGUGCCCACCAGAAGACGACGAUGAUGAUGGUGAAUCCUCCAACAGCUCCAAACGAGCUCCACGUCCGGUUCCUGCACCAUGGUUAGGUAACAGCAAAGGAGAGUAUGCAACAUCAUCAAAUUGGUCAGAAGCAACAGAGGAUGAAUGCAGGGAUGGUGGUUCGACAGUGGACACAGGAAGGUUGGCAAAGGGAAAAACAUGCUCAUCAAACACAACGUCCCGAGAUAUAUAGACACGAUUAGUGGGAACAUGAAGACAUUUGUAACCUUUAUGAAGAGAGCUAUAGCCAAGAAAAACACACUUCUUAGAACGAAACUCAAGCUUGCGCUUGUUAUAUGGACGAAGAUGCGGCCAGCAAGCACACCCAAAUACCUUGAGAAAGGUAUAAUCAGGUUGUUCAUUAAGGAGAACCUCAAUGGGAGUCUUCAUGUUUAAAACACGAGUAGGAGUACGGUUGAUGAGAAAGCAUGCAGUGGUGAAAGCAUCACUCCAAAACCGAAACGGAACAGAUGCAUGGGCCAAAAGAGUAAGACCAGCUUCAACAAUAUGACGAUGCUUACGUUCGACUGAACCAUUCUGCUGAUGUGUAUGUGGACAUGCUAAACGAUGAGCUAUCCCAAGCGACUGAAAGAAAGAGUUGAGGUUGCGAUACUCGCCCCCCCCCCCAGUCUGACUGGACAUGAACAAUUUUGUGCUUGAGAAGACGUUCAACAUGUUUUUGAAACUGAACAAAAAUAUCAAACACAUCAGAUUUGCGUUUAAUAAGGUAAAGCCAGGUAAAGCGACUAUAAGCAUCAACGAAACUGAUAUAGUAAUUAUGACCACUGACAGAAGUCUGAGCAGGACCCCAUACAUCUGAAAACACAAGUUCUAAAGGAUGUUUCACCUCACGACUGGACUCCGAAAAAGGAAGUUGAUGACUCUUCCCCUGCUGACAAGCAUCACACACUGCUACAUCUUUAUGACUAGACAAACUAGGAAGCUCAUGACGACACAAAAUAUGACGGACAAUAGGUGUGGCCGGGUGACCAAGACGAGCAUGCCACUGUGACGGAGAGACCCAAACUCCACUGAAAACACGAGCGACACCAGGAUGCUCCAGACGGUAGAGGCCCUGGCACAACCGCCCACUAAGAAGAAUGUCCCUCGUGCCCCGAUCCAUAAUAAAAAGAUCAAAAGGGUGAAAUUCACAAAGCACAUUAUUAUCACGUGUGAGUUUAGAAACUGAAAGAAGAUUACGGGUCACAGAUGGAACUCGAAGAACAUUGCGAAGCUGAAGACUCCUAUUGGCAUGUCUAGUGAGAAGAGAUGCUUGACCAAUAUGAGAGAUGUGCAUACCUGCUCCAUUGGCGGUGUGGAUCUUGUCAGAGCCAUGAUAGGGUUCACGAGUGUGAAGCUUCCCCAUCUCGCUGGUUAGAUGCUCUGUCGCCCCAGAGUCCAUGUACCAGUGUGGAUCGAUGGAGUAGGACUGAGUGUGUCCCUGUUGCUUCUGCGGCGCGGGACGAUCAGCCAUGGCGACCUGACGAGCAUUGUUGCGUGUAUCUUUGCCGUCAUUGCCAAGACCAAGGAAGCUUCGCUGGAAGCGCUUAUGACACUUGGAGGCCCAGUGCCCACCGCGGCCACAAAGCUGACACACACGUGGACCGCCAGCCCCCGGUAAGGUCGCAGUAGGGGGGGGGGCCGAGGCGGGCGACGGUGGCAGCCCCAAGGGAGACCGGGGUGAUGAAGAAGAGCGGCCACCCUUGGUGGCGACGUUGGCCGAGAGGGAGCCAGUGCCCCUGGUGCGGCGAGUCUCGACCCGUUGCUCAGUGAGAAGGAGCCGAGAGAAAACCUCGUGUGCCAGCAUGGGUGUCGAGUUGCCCCGCUCGUUGAUGAUCUUGACUAAGGCAUCAUACUCCUCAUCAAGACCAUUGACAAUAAACGAGUUGAACUCGGAGUCGGUGAGGGGCUGUCCAAUGGAGGCCAAUGUGUCGGCGAGGCCCUUGACCUUGUUGUAGAACUCAGUGGCAGUGGAGUCAAGCUUCUGACACUCUCCAAGCUGACGACGGAGUGCAGAGACACGAGCCUGGGACUGCGCUGCAAAGGUGCGCUCAAGGAUGGUCCAGGCCUCAUGAGACGUCUUCGCGAAGACAACAAGGCCGGCAACUGCCGGCGAGAGCGACCCCUGGAUGGAGGAGAGGUUCGCCUGGUCCUGCCCCGUCCAGACGCGAUGGGCCGGAUUGUAGACCGGACCGUGCACGCUGUCUACCAGCGCGGGUGGGCAGGGAAGAGAUCCGUCGACGUAGCCUAGCAGGUAGUGACUCCCCAAGAGCGGGAGAACCUGCGCACGCCAGAAGAUGUAGUUGUCGGCGGAGAGCUUGAUGGUGAUGAGAUGACCGAAGUGAAACGGCGGCGGCGAAGACAAUCCCAUCGAGGAGGCUGCCUGGGGUGCAAACACCAUGGAGGCAGCCGGAGGCACCGAAGCCGAUGCGGGAGGAGGCGGGACCGCAGCCAGGGCGGGCGCCGCAAAGCUCGCGGCCGGUGCGGACGCCGCAAGGCCCGCGGCCGGGGCGGACGCCGCCAACCCCGCCAGCGGGGCAGUGUGAUCCGCUUGCGGCAGGAGCGGCGGGACGACGCCUGCGGAGUCCGCAGCGGACGGCGGCGCCGCGGUGUGGACCACGAGGUCACGCCCAAGCGAGGGCGCCGGCGGCGUGGAGAAGACGGAGCCGAUGCUCCUUGUCCCGAUCGGAGCCGGAACAGAGACGGCAUCGAGCGGGAGGUUGAGCAGAGCCGCAAGAGAGGCCGGGAGGAAGCCCGCAGCAGUGGAACCGGUGGUGGCGGCGCUCGACAUGGCGGUGGCGCGAUCGGUGGCGCGGCGGCGGCUGCGGCGGCGGUGCGGGUAUUAGGGUUUAGAAGCGGAAGCGAUCGUAACCUAGCGUGAUACCAUGUAAGACAAUAAGUUUUGGGGAACCAGCACAACCCUCUAGGGGUGGCUUAUCUCAUUAUAUAUAAUGGUUGUGUUAUAAUAUGUACCAUAUACGUACAUAGGUACAAAAGCUAUACAUAGUCUAACACCACACAGUGAGCUACAAAAUACCACAAAAGAAGUAUUUUGGUUUCAGGUGGCUUAAAGAAACACUGAUACGCAAUUACCUGGUUCCAGUACCUAAUAGCUUGAAAUAACAAGUAGAGUUCAACAAGUAUACUAAGGUACAAAUGCCUCCUCUCCUUGGUUUUCUUGAAGACUGAAGUUGUAUCUCCUCACCUCGCUAAUGCUUAGCAAAGCUGCAAGAAGAGGAGUGGAGAUUUGGGGGACGGGAGGGAAGGUGAUAGGGGAACGGCUGAGUACCUUGAGCAGCCACUACUAGGGAAAAGCUUAUAGGUAGACGCUUACUAGUAGCGCGGGUUUAUACCCCUCGCUGCUACUACUUACUAGUAGUGCGGGUUUAUACCCCUCGCUACUACUAAGUUGAUAGUAGUAGCACGGGUCUAUUCCCCUCGCUACUACUAAGUGGUGUCUACCGUGCCCCCCGGGACAUGCCAUAGUAGUAGCGAGGGGUAUAAACCCGCACCCGCGCUAUUACUAAGUUGAUAGUAGUGAUGCGGGUUUAUACCCCUCGCUAGUACUAAGUAUAUGAUUUUUUGAGGAGCCCUGAAAUCCCCAUCUCCUCCCCCAAAUCCUUCCUCUCCCCCGUCACUCUCCCCCCUCUCUCUCCCUAGGCUCUCACAUGGACCUCCUACCCAUGCACAUCUCCUUCUCCAUGGCGCGAAAAGAGGCCGAUGGCGUCCCGGAGCUCGCCGGUCUUCCCCGCAUCUCCAUGCCACCACACCGGAGCACCUCACCAUCGGCGACCAACCCCGCUGCUACCUCCAUUUCCUUCCUCUCUUCCUUGUUUUUCUUUUUGUCUCUCUCCCUCUGGUUUGACUCACCCUCCCAUGUCCUUCCCGUGCAGGUUGUCGUCAUGGAUGACCAGGAGCUCGCUACAUUUGCUGCGAAGAGGAGCCCAACGCCGCCGCCUUGAUCGGCCAUGGAUCUGGGCCCUCUACAGCAGUCGUCGCUGGAUCUGGUCUGACGCUGCCCUUCCGCACCUCCGGCGACCACUGUCGUCGCUGGAUCGAACCAUUGCUGCCAUUGACAGCAUGCAGGGGAUCGAGAAUUUUUUUUGUUUUUGAAAUUAAUAAUAGUAGUGCGAGUGGCAACCACGCUACCACUAACAGACGUAGUAGUAGCGCUGGUGCGCCCGCGCUACUACUAUAAGUUAGCUGUAGCGCCGUAGUAGUAGCGCGUAUACCCGCGCUACUACUAGCUGUUUAACCCGCGCUAUUACUAGGCUUUUCUCUAGCAGUGAGCAAUGUGGUGGUCGGCGGCUAAUGCGGCAGUAAAGAAAGAAGCGGAAGUUGUUGUUGUUGGUUAAUCAUGUGCCGGGUGCAUGAUUAAUCAUCGCCAAAUGCAGGCUCGCUGCUAAGUCGCCUCUAUAUAAAGCUAGCGUAGGGAUUUCCCAUCACAUCACCAAGAAACUCAAACAUCGAACGAAUAGAAGAGAUAGACCGGCCAUGCAAUAUUGCUACUUGUGUUUUUCUUAACUUGCCUACGCGCAUAGCUUUGCUCUUACAUGCCUUGCUACUUGUCUUAAACACUGCAAUUUUAAGGAGUUCAUGUUGAUAAUUAAAAGCAGCCCAAGUACUAGGUAUAUUGUUAUGAUGCAAGCUACAAUACCCACGCUACCGAAUGAACGCAACACCAGUGAAUUCAUAUACAAUAGUUGUAUUACGUCUACCCCCGGGAUAAUUUAAGCAUGUAAAAAGUUGUUCAAUCUCAACCUCCUAUGUUACAUAAAUAUCAGGAAUGUAUCUACCCUCAAACUAUGAAGUUUUAAUUUUUCGUUUGGCACAUGCUCAUUGUAGGAUUUCUUUGGUUUUCUCAUUUUUUGGGUAUUGUUUCAUGUUCUUUUCCUAAGAUAUGUGCGAAUAUUUUGUAAUAUGUGUUCAGCAAUUUUCAUAUACAUGUCAUACAUUUUUCAGAUACAUGUUGAACAUUUUUUUAAUAGCAUAUUUUUUGAAUUUUGCAAAAAAUAAUUUAAAAUCACGAUUUUUAUUAAAAACAUUAACAUUUUUUGAAUUCAUUUUUAAAAAAAAAUUGUGAACAAUAUUUCAAAUUUAUGAAGAUUCCUUGAAAUCUAGAAACAAUGAACCAAAUAGAAAAAGAGGGAAAAUGAACAAUGAAAAAAAGAAAAGAAAAAAACAAAAUAAAUGGAAAAAUAAAGAAACCAAUGAAAGAAGAAAAGAAAAGAGCAAAACGGACAAGCCAAAACAGAAACAGGAGAAAACUAGAAAAAAAAGUAGUUCAGAAAAAACAAAUGCUGCAGGGAACCACGAAUGAAACAACACCCCAAUUGGGCUGACCAAACUCGCCUCGCAUGCUGGUGUCGCCCCAUCCAUUUGAUGCUUCCAAAUGGUGGUACGGUACAUUUAACUAGACCAUGAUGGCGCGCGUUGCUGCGCCCGCCAAUUUUAUAAUAGACUGAUAAAAUAUCAUGCAAUUUUUUUAAAAUGUAAAAUAUAAAAAUUAAACUUGCAUGAACUAACCCGUAUAUUAGACAAUGAUAAAAAAAAAGUAAUGUUGCGAUUGUCUCGGAAAUAGAAUUCGGCAAGUGAUAGCUCUAAUUUUUAAAUGAAUAGUGUCUAUGAAAGAUAUCAAGGAAACAAAAACAUGAAUAAGUAACUUAGGUUUAGAGAACAUACAUGAUAGUCAAUAGCACGAUUGGUAAGAUAAAUUAACCGGAUGUAACACCCCGGUGUAAUGAUGCUACAGUAACCCCUGGGGUUAAGUUAAUCUUUUUGCUAAACAUGUUCCUGAUCAUAAUUGUCUCCUUUCUCUUUUAAAUUCCAGUUGAAUUCAAAUUCAAAUUUUGUCUGAAAUUCAAAAUGCUCAGACAUGAAAACAAAAAUGUUCAUCAUGUGUAGAAUAAUCCACAACUACUAUUGGUGGUGAACCAACAUUUUUGCAAAAAGGUUUGAGUGGCCUAAGCUACUUCAAACAGUGGCCUAAGAAAUAAAUUAAAUGCCUUUUUAAUUUAUGAAAAUUGGCAACUAUUCCAAAAGCCACCCAACCUUUUUGAGGCAGUGCACUUUAAUUCUUUGAGUUUGUUUUGGCCAGUGGCAUAAUUUUGCAAAGUCAAUUGUGGCAAAAGAAAAAUGCAAAAGCUGCUGGAAAAGAAAAACAAAAAAAAAGGAAAGAAGAGGAGGUGGGAGGGCCCCUGGCCUCCCCUUGGGCUUCGGCCCACCCCAGCAGGCCGGCCCACCUCACCAGCCUGGCCGGCCCAGCUCCCCGAAGCGCGCCCCCUUCCUGUUCCCCUGGUGCGCGCCGCUACAGGGGCGCGACGCCGCCCGACCACCUCGCCGGCAACGCCGCGGGUGGAUAAGGUCGCCACCCCUGGACGCCUCGAGUCCCCCCUCACCUACCGCUACGCCCCCGCCCAGAUCCACUCCCUUCAUUCCCUCGCUCGCGCUCGCCCUUUCUCCCCACUGCCCGAGCACGCCCGCCGUCGUGCCUCGACUGUCCUCGCGGCCACCGAGCCCCAUUCGCCUCGCCAUCGAGCCCAUCGUCUCCGCCGCCGUCGUCUACCCAGUCCCCGUCCGUGAGCGCGAGCCGGGAGCCACUACGGGGAGCGGAUCGAGCAGCCCCCUUUCUCCUCUGUCGCCGGUGACCGCCGUCAUCUCUGGCCACCUCUGCGCUCCUAAGCUGUCGCAGGCUUUUCGUAGCCGCCCGGUGAGCUCCUCCCUCCCUCCUUUCUUCUCCUCGCACCGCUUCGCCCUCCCUAGCUCACUCGCCGCAGCUGCAGUAGCUCACCGCCGCCUAGACCCGCAGUCGUCGUGGCCACGCUCACCGUCGAGCUCAACCGAGCACUGCACCGUGCCCAGCACGCUCCGAGCAGCCUGACACACAUGCCAGUUGCCCCUGUCGUGCCCUACUUCGACGAGCUCGAGCUCGCCCGAGCUCCGGCGUCCGCCGCGGUCGACGCCACCGUCGACACCGUCCAUCCCAGCCUCGGCUAAGACCUCGAAUGGGUGCGCCCGACCCCCUGCUUUUGAACGCGCUGCCCCACGCUGCUUUUGAGCGCCCGUAGCCCCGUCCCCGAUGAUGCCCGAAGCCAACCGCCGCCCACGCUCACCGCUGGCGCCGAUUCCGGCCAAGUCCGGUGAUGCUACGGCCACCACUGGACGCGGCGCGGAGAGCUCGUUCGUAUGAGCCUAGCCCCGCUCCUCCCCGAGCCCUGUACGCGUUUUCCGGCGAGGUCCGGCGCCCCUCCGCCGCGGGAACGCUCACCGGAGCUCCCCAACGCCGGCGCCGACGUGGACGUCCGGGUCCACCUCGCCAGGUCACUGCCCCGUGGCCCCAGUGGCCCGGCUAGCCCUGUUGACCUAGUCAAUGGCUGACUAGGCAUGGCCCAGUCACUGCCAGUGGGCCCCUCGUGGACCCUGUUGACUAGUCAACUAGUCUGUUGACCGCUGAUGCAACAAUGACGCCCUGAUGAUGUCAUAUUUUCCUUUUCUGUUAAUAUAAAUAAUUCCAGAAUAUUGUUUAAACUUUAAAAAUUCAUAGAAAAUAAACCGUAACUCCGAUGAAAAUGUUUUCUAUAUGAAAGUUGCUCAGAAAAAUCCAACGAAUCCGAAUACGCGGUCCGUUCAUCUGUCACAUGCCCCUAGCAUGCUGAACUUGGAACUUUCCCCCUCCGGUCAUCUGUCUGACACAGGUCCGGAACCGGGAACACCUUCCCGGUUGUUUUCCCCCUUCACCUAUAACGUCUAGGACCGCGUUAGAGCACGCUUAGCGCUACAUAUCGUCAUGUCUUGCUUAGUGUUACCUCUGUUUGCUAUGUAUUUACUGUUUCUUCCCCCUCUUCUCUCCGGUAGGCCCCGAGGCCGCUGAUGCCCCGGUGAUCGACUACGUCGUUGACAACGACCCCUCCUUGCCAGAGCAACCAGGCAAGCCCCCCCCUUUGAUCAUUCCGAUAUCGCCCAUUCCAUUCUCUCAUGCUUGCAUUAGAUUUUGCUACUGUUAUUGUAUGCUCCUAUUCUGAUGCAUAGCCUGCUUUUGUACCUGUUAUUGUACCUUACCUGCUUAUCCUAAUCUGCUUAGUAUAGGUUGGUUAGUGAUCCAUCAGUGACCCCCACCUUGUCCUUGUUGCCCCUGCUUCAUUCUUGAAGACCCGAUCAACGGGAUUGAAGACCAGGCCCCGGCACCGCACAUCACUUUCCCCUUAGUUGCUCGACACUACUGGGUUACUAUCGAGUGCCGAGGGUGAGACCUCUACAGCACUUCUGAUGUUAACCUGUAGUGUAGCUAUUCGAUCGUGGUCAUCGAGGGUGAUUUCCUCUUUAACCACUUCCGAUACGACUCUGUCGUGCAACCCCUCAAGUGUGAACCUCGAGGGUGAUUCCUCUAUGUUCACCUUGAUGAUUACAUUGAGUGGAACCCACCGGGGGUGAUUCCUUGGGUUUUCCUCUUGAUGUUUGGACACACGGAUACUUGGACUUUACAACUGUUACUUGGAAAGUGAUGUGGAGACGGGUUGACCUGGAAGGUGCCCGUGAGAUAAUUACGAGGCGUGGCCGGGCAUUCUUAGCCCUUGCCGCAAGUCCUCGAGACGGGGCAACGGGGUCACCUCUUUCGUGAGGCUCUGCUUGUUACCGCGCGUUCCUAAUCCACUACGAUUUGGAUAUUUGAUCCGAGGAGCCUCUGGCCUGAUAGCACUAACCAUCACGUGGGCAUAGUAUGGGCGUUCUGCGUCGUAUACAUCAGCCAAAGCUUAAUAGACGUCAGCGACGGAGCGGCGCGCGCCGGGUUGGACUGGUAAGCUCCUGCCUUUUUAGGGAGGUAGCUAGGUCUGCUCACCGGCUGCCCACGCAACGUGCAGGAGUUUCCGGGGAGAUGGCCCAUGACCCCUGGGGGCAUAGGUUUAGUCCGGCGUGCUGGCCUCUCUAUUAAGCCUAGGUCGGGUUGCGGCGUAUUGUUUGGCCGAGGCCGGGCAUGACCCUGGAAAGUGUGUCCGGCCGGAGUUAAGCGAGCGUGGUGGGUAAGUUGGUGCACCCCUGCAGGGAAGAACUAAUCUAUGCAUAGCCUGUCCUACGGUAACGGACACUUGGAGUUGUAUCCCGAUCGAUACAACUAGAACUGGAUACUUGUGAUGAGAACUGGAUGGUGAUGAGGAUUUGAUUGAGAUGAUAAUUGGAUAGUAUGGCUCUGGGAUUGCUUUCUCGCAGGGAGUCGAGAAAGGAUCUCUGGCCGAGGUUGAUAAGACUACUACCGUUUUACUUUAUGAUACUCUACUCCCUCGUGUUUGUGGCAAGAUGGUGGUUUCCAGAAGAUGCUAGUCUUCGAUAGGACUAGACCUUCUCUCUAUUCUGGCAUUUCUGCAGCCCAGUCCACAUAUAUAGCCUUCCUUUGAUAAUGUUGCAUAUGUAGUGUAGAUCCUUGCUUGCGAGUACUUUGGAUGAGUACUCACGGUUGCUUUGCUUCCCCUUUUCCCCCUUCUUUCUUCUUUCUGGUUGUUGCAACCAGAUAGUGGAGUCCAGGAGCCAGAUGCCACCUUUGACGACGGCUGCUACCCCGAGGAUGCCUACUACCACGUGACGGACGCCGACGACCAAGAGUAGUUAGGAGGCUCCCAGGCAGGAGGCCUUGCCUUUUCGAUCGUUGUUGUUUUGUGCUAGCCUUCUUAAGGCAAACUUGUUUAACUCAUGUCUGUACUCAGAUUUUGUUGCUUCCGCUGACUCGUUUGUAUUCAAGCUGAUGUAUUCGAGCCCUCGAGGCCCCUGGCUUGUAAUAUAAAGCUUGUAUUAUUUUAAUUUGUGUCUAGAGUUGUGUUGUGAUAUCUUCCCUUGAGUCCUUGAUCUUGAUCGUACACAUUUGCGUGUAUGAUUAGUGUACGAUUGAAUCGAGGGCGUCACAAGUUGGUAUCAGAGCCGACUGCCUGUAGGUAGCCCCCUUUCCAACUCCUUGGCCGAAGUUGAGUCUAGUCAUUGAAAAACUUUUUCUAACAUUGGUUGUGUGGCUUACGGGCCCACGUCGCCAUUGGGUGGUAUUAGGAUCUUUUACUCCUCGUCUAUACUCUGGGACUCUGAACUCUCUUCUACUCGGGUUAAAUGAAUUUACUAACAUUAGGAUCCCGUGACCACAUUCACCCCGAAGUUGGAUGAAGCCAUAGUUAUUCCUUAGAAUAGCUUUUUGAGUAGUGCACACCCUGUCGUGUUGACUACGGAGUGGAAUCCAUCGUACCUCCUUCAUUAUGUAUGUUUUCAUCAUGAAUGAUCCUUAUCUUUGCAAAUGCUCAAUGCUGAACUACCCCUGUUACAUGUUAGCAGGAUGGUUAGACCCGCUGGUCGUGGCUGUGGUGCCAACGACCCACCACCGCCUGAAUUCUUUACUGGAAUGAGGCAACAGUUUGAGUUAACUCGCCAGUUCAUGGAAGGAAUGAUGGCUCAGUUUCCUCGUCCGAACAUGAAUCAACAUCCAACCCGAGUAACUCUGCAGGACUUCAUGCGCCUCAACCCAUCUAUCUACCGCAGCUCAACUCAACCCCUUGAUGCUGAUGACUGGCUCCGCGACAUCACAUAUGAAAUGGAGUCUGCUAGUGUUGCCCCUGCCAGCUAUGUCACCUUCGCAUCUUUCUUUCUGAAGGGUCCUGCUGCUCAAUGGUGGGACAGCCACCGGCAUACCCUACCUGCUAGAACGGUCAUUACUUGGCCGGAUUUCCAAGCUGCCUUCCGUGCCCGUUUCAUUCCUCAAGGAACCAUGGACAGGAAGAAGCGAGAGUUCCGCAACCUCACCCAAGGCAACAAGACUGUAGAUGCUUAUCAACGGGAAUUUCUGGACUUGUCACGUUAUGCUGAAGAAGACAUUGCAACUGAUGCUCGUAAGCAAGAAAAGUUUCGUGAUGGACUUCACCCAGAUAUCAAGCUAGCACUGCUCAUUCAUGACUUUGCCGACUUCGCCACCUUGGUGAACAAGGCUAUUCAGGUUGAGACUGGUCUUCAGGAACACCAGGGAUCCCUCAGGCGUAGCCGUGACGCUGGCCCAUCUUCGGGCCCGUCAGCGCAGAAGCGUCGUAUAUGGAUUCCCCACAGCAUGUAUCGUCCAACUGCACCUACACCAAGACAGUCCUAUGCUGCACCUCGUCUGCCUCCUCCACCAGAGAGGCAGCCUCUUCGAGAUGUACCAUCCCAAGCUCCUGCUCCCGAUCCCAAUGAUGGUCUGUGCUUCAGAUGUGGCCGCCCCGGCCACCUUGCUAAAGAGUGCACUCAGAAAAAGAGCCAGCUGGCUCUACCUUCAACUGGCCGUAACAAUCAGCCCCAUAACAAUAAUGCCAGACCUUAUGGUCAUGGUCAGGCUAAUCAUGUUGAUCUGAAUGAAGCUCAAGACUAGCCUGCCACUGUGAUGGGUACUCUUCUUGUUAAUUCAGUACCGGCUUCUGUUUUAUUCGAUUCAGGAGCAUCACAUUCAUUCAUGUCAGAAAAUUUUGCUUACGCACAUGACAUUCGUUGCGAGCCCAUGAACACUCCGAUAGUGGUACGCACCCCUGCGGGUCAGUGUCGAACUACCAUGAUUGCUCGCGAUGUCCCUGUUGAAAUUGAAGGGUUGGAAUUUCGUGUUUCUCCAAUUAUUCUUGAUUCUUCCAAUAUUGACCUCAUUCUGGGAAUGGAAUGGUUGAAAGCGCAUACUGCCUCUAUCGUUUGCGCCACCAAGGUCGUUCACCUCCUACAUCCUUCCGAUGAGAUAGUAAGCUACCAUGCUCAGCUUGUUCAAAACGCUGAAGCACGACUUUAUGCUUUGAAUGCGUUGAACGCGGCACCUCUUGAGGGAAUUGAAAAGAUUCCAGUCGUUCGCAACUUCCAAGACGUAUUUCCAGAAGAACUUCCAGGAAUACCCCCUGCCCGGGCUGUCGAGUUCGUCAUCGACUUGAAACCAGGCACCGUUCCUAUUGCAAAACGACCCUACAAGAUGCCACCUCAUGAACUCCUUGAGCUUAAGGAGGAAAUCGACAAAUCUCUUCACAAGGGUUUCAUUCGUCCAAGUUCCUCUGCUUGGGGAGCACCUUCUCUCUUCGUCAAGAAGAAGGACGGUACGAACCGUUUGGUCCAAGACUAUCGUCCUAUCAACCAAGCUACAAUUCAAAACAAAUAUCCCCUUCCUCGGAUCAAUGAUCUGUAUGAUCAACUGGCUGGUUCAUCAAUAUUCUCUAAACUCGACUUGAGGUUGGGUUACCACCAGAUCCGUGUUCGUGAAGAGGAUAUUCCAAAGACCGCAUUUGUGACUCGUUAUGGUUCUUACGAGUACACCGUCAUGUCAUUCGGUUUAACCAAUGCUCCAGCUACAUUCUCUCGUCUGAUGAACUAUAUAUUCAUGGAUUACCUCGACAAGUUCGUCGUAGUCUAUCUGGAUGAUAUACUGGUAUAUUCGAAGAAUAAAGAAGAACAUGUUGAACAUCUUCGUCUUGUUCUGGAGAAGCUUCGAGAGCAUCAACUUUAUGCCAAGUAUUCCAAGUGUGAAUUCUGGUUACCCGAAGUCACCUACCUUGGUCAUGUUAUCUCCAAGGAUGGUAUUGCCGUCAACCCAGAGCGCGUUCAGGCUAUUCUUGACUGGACCCCUCCGAAGACUGUCAAGCAAGUCAGAAGCUUUCUCGGACUGGCCAGCUAUUGCCGCCGCUUUGUCGAGAACUUCUCCAAGAUCGCCAAGCCACUGACUAAUCUGCUUCACAAAGGCGUUAAGUUUGAUUGGACAGACAAAUGUCAGGAAAGUUUCCAGGCACUCAAGGAUAAACUGACUUCUGCCCCAGUGCUUGCUCCCCCUGAUUCUCGCAAGGACUUUGUCAUCUAUUGUGACGCUUCACGUCAAGGAUUAGGCUGUGUUCUAAUGCAAGAGCGCAGGGUGAUUGCCUAUGCCUCCCGUCAAGUGCGUCCUCACGAAGAAAACUACCCGGUUCAUGACCUUGAGCUUGCAGCGGUUAUCUUUGCAUUGAAGCUAUGGCGACAAUACCUUCUCGGUAAUCGUUGUGAGAUCUUCACUGAUCAUCAGAGUCUGAAGUACCUGUUUACUCAGCCAGAUCUGAACCUCCGUCAGCAGCGAUGGAUGGAAGCUAUUGCUGACUACAACUGCAGUAUAUCUUAUACACCUGGCAAGGCUAAUGUAAUGGCCGAUGCCCUAAGCCGAAAGUCUUAUUGCAAUAAUCACCAGGUCUACAAAGCUCAACCCCGUCUUUAUGAAGAGCUAUGCAAGCUGAACCUUCAACUAGUUCCACAGGGUUCUCUGAAUAACCUUGUUUUGGAACCAACUCUUCUGAAAGCAAUCAAGUCUGCUCAAGCCAAAGAUGCUCAUGUUGAUCUGAUGAAAAAGGAUCUUGCCUUAGAGAAAUCCAGAGAUUUCUCACUUGGUGAAGAUGGAACCUUAUACUUCAGAGAUCGCAUUGUCGUACCCCGGUUCGAGCUUAUGACAGAGAAGGUGAUGAAAGAAGCGCAUGACACCCCUCUCUCUAUUCAUCCGGGAAGUACCAAGAUGUAUCUUGACAUCCGUCAGAAGUACUGGUGGUCUAAGAUGAAGCAAGACAUUGCUCGAUAUAUUGAAGAAUGUGACGUUUGUCGUCGCGUCAAAGCAGAACAUCAGAAACCGGCUGGACUUCUACAACCGCUUCCGAUUCCUGAAUGGAAGUGGGAUAAGAUCCAAAUGGACUUCGUCACUGGCCUUCCCAAGUCUCAGAAAGGUAACGAUGCUAUCUUUGUCGUCAUCGACCAAUUCUCGAAGGUUGCUCACUUUCUGCCAGUCAAGGAGACUAUCACUGCUAGUCAAUUGGCAACCUUGUAUAUCUCCCGAAUUGUGUCACUCCAUCGCAUUCCGAAGGAGAUCAGUUCAGACCGCGGCAGUAUUUUCACUUCUAAGUUCUGGGAUAGUUUCCAAGAGGCAAUGGGAACUCAUAUUACCUGGAGCACUGCUUAUCAUCCCCAAUCCCAAGGCCAAGUCGAGCGAGUCAAUCAAAUUCUUGAAGACAUGCUUCGAGCUUGUGUUAUUUCUUUCGGCAAGAAGUGGGAAGAGUCUCUCCCUUAUGCGGAGUUCUCUUAUAACAACAGCUAUCAAGCCAGCUUGAAGAUGGCACCCUUUGAAGUGCUUUAUGGACGUAAGUGCCGAACCCCUCUGAAUUGGUCAGAAACUGGGGAACGAGCACUCAUUGGUCCGGACAUUAUUCAACAAGCUGAAGAGCAGGUUCGCAUUGUCCGGGAUAAUCUCAAGGCGGCCCAAUCCCGCCAGAAGAGCAACUAUGACCGGAAACACUGGGGUUCAACUUAUCAACCUGGUGAACAAGCUUAUCUGCGUGUCACUCCUUUGAGAGGCACUCAUCGGUUCGGAGUCAAGGGAAAGUUAGCUCCUCGCUACAUUGGUCCCUUCCGUAUUCUCGCCCGUCGUGGACUGGUGGCUUAUCAACUGGAGUUGCCACCUCAGUUCUCUCACGUUCAUGACGUCUUCCAUGUGUCGCAACUUCGUCGAUGCUUCAAGGAUCCGGAACGUGAAGUGGAUCCGGAAUUGAUUGAAAUUCAAGAUGAUCUCACAUACAUGGAGCAUCCGAUCUGCAUUCUUGAAGAAGCUGAACGUCGAACCCGCCAGAAGGUUACUAAGUUCCUCAAGGUGCAAUGGUCGAAUCAUACUAAAGAGGAAGCCACUUGGGAACGCGAAGAUAACCUCCGGGCUGAAUACCCCGAUCUUUUCCCUUCUACCUCUUAAUUCUCGGGACGAGAAUUUCUUUUAGAGGAGGAGAGUUGUAACACCCCGGUGUAAUGAUGCUACAGUAACCCCUGGGGUUAAGUUAAUCUUUUUGCUAAACAUGUUCCUGAUCAUAAUUGUCUCCUUUCUCUUUUAAAUUCCAGUUGAAUUCAAAUUCAAAUUUUGUCCGAAAUUCAAAAUGCUCAGACAUGAGAACAAAAAUGUUCAUCAUGUGCAGAAUAAUCCAGAACUAAUUUUGGUGGUGAACCAACAUUUUUGCAAAAGGGUUUGAGUGGCCUAAGCUACUUCAAACAGUGGCCUAAGAAAUAAAUUAAAUGCCUUUUUAAUUUAUGGAAAUGGCAAACUAUUUCUAAAGCCUCACAAUCUAUUUGGGCAGUGCCUAAUAAUUCUUUGAGAUUAUUUUGGCCAAUGGCAUAAUUUUUUUGCAAAGUCUUUAUUGGCUAAAAGAAAAAGAAAAGAAAAUGCAAAAGCUGUUUAAAAGAAAAGGAAAGAAGAGGGGGAGGGAGAGCCCCUGGCCUCCCCCUGGGCUUCGGCCCAUCCCAGCAGGCCGACCCACCUCACCAGCCUGGCCGGCCCAGCUCCCCGAAGCGCGCCCCCCCUUCCUGUUCCCCUGGUGCGCGCCGCUACAGGGGCGCGACGCCGCCCGACCACCUCGCCGGCAACGCCGCGGGUGGGUAAGGGCCCCUCCCCUCGACGCCUCGACCUCCUCCCCACCUACCUCCACCCACUCCCCUGCUCGCCCCCUCCGCCUCUCCCACUCCCCUCCGGAUUCCCCCUCGAGCUUUCCCCUCUCUCGGACCCGAGCGUGCUCGCCGCCGCGCCUCGACUGUCCUCGCGGCCACCGAGCCCCAUUCGCCUCGCCAUCGAGCCCAUCGUCUCCGCCGCCGUCGUCUACCCAGUCCCCGUCCGUGAGCGCGAGCCGGGAGCCACUACGGGGAGCGGAUCGAGCAGCCCCCUUUCUCCUCUGUCGCCGGUGACCGCCGUCAUCUCCGGCCACCUCUGCGCUCCUAAGCUGUCGCAGGCUUUUCGUAGCCGCCCGGUGAGCUCCUCCCUCCCUCCUUUCUUCUCCUCGCACCACUUCGCCCUCCCUAGCUCACUCGCCGCAGCUGCAGUAGCUCACCGCCGCCUAGACCCGCAGUCGUCGUGGCCACGCUCACCGUCGAGCUCAACCGAGCACUGCACCGUGCCCAGCACGCUCCGAGCAGCCUGACACACAUGCCAGUUGCCCCUGUCGUGCCCUACUUCGACGAGCUCGAGCUCGCCCGAGCUCCGGCGUCCGCCGCGGUCGACGCCACCGUCGACACCGUCCAUCCCAGCCUCGGCUGAGACCUCGAAUGGGUGCGCCCGACCCCCUGCUUUUGAACGCGCUGCCCCACGCUGCUUUUGAGCGCCCGUAGCCCCGUCCCCGAUGAUGCCCGAAGCCAACCGCCGCCCACGCUCACCGCUGGCGCCGAUUCCGGCCAAGUCCGGUGAUGCUACGGCCACCACUGGACGCGGCGCGGAGAGCUCGUUCGUAUGAGCCUAGCCCCGCUCCUCCCCGAGCCCUGUACGCGUUUUCCGGCGAGGUCCGGCGCCCCUCCGCCGCGGGAACGCUCACCGGAGCUCCCCAACGCCGGCGCCGACGUGGACGUCCGGGUCCACCUCGCCAGGUCACUGCCCCGUGGCCCCAGUGGCCCGGCUAGCCCUGUUGACCUAGUCAAUGGCUGACUAGGCAUGGCCCAGUCACUGCCAGUGGGCCCCUCGUGGACCCUGUUGACUAGUCAACUAGUCUGUUGACCGCUGAUGCAACAAUGGCGCCCUGAUGAUGUCAUAUUUUCCUUUUCUGUUAAUAUAAAUAAUUCCAGAAUAUUGUUUAAACUUUAAAAAUUCAUAGAAAAUAAACCGUAACUCCGAUGAAAAUGUUUUCUAUAUGAAAGUUGCUCAGAAAAUCCAACGAAUCCGAAUACGUGGUCCGUUCAUCUGUCACAUGCCCCUAGCAUGCUGAACUUGGAACUUUCCCCCUCCGGUCAUCUGUCUGACACAGGUCCGGAACCGGGAACACCUUCCCGGUUGUUUUCCCCCUUCACCUAUAACGUCUAGGACCGCGUUAGAGCACGCUUAGCGCUACGUAUCGUCAUGUCUUGCUUAGUGUUACCUCUGUUUGCUAUGUAUUUACUGUUUCUUCCCCCUCUUCUCUCCGGUAGGCCCCGAGGCCGCUGAUGCCCCGGUGAUCGACUACGUCGUUGACAACGACCCCUCCUUGCCAGAGCAACCAGGCAAGCCCCCCCCUUUGAUCAUUCCGAUAUCGCCCAUUCCAUUCUCUCAUGCUUGCAUUAGAUUUUGCUACUGUUAUUGUAUGCUCCUAUUCUGAUGCAUAGCCUGCUUUUGUACCUGUUAUUGUACCUUACCUGCUUAUCCUAAUCUGCUUAGUAUAGGUUGGUUAGUGAUCCAUCAGUGACCCCCCACCUUGUCCUUGUUGCCCCUGCUUCAUCCUUGAAGACCCGAUCAACGGGAUUGAAGACCAGGCCCCGGCACCGCACAUCACUUUCCCCUUAGUUGCUCGACACUACUGGGUUACUAUCGAGUGCCGAGGGUGAGACCUCUACAGCACUUCUGAUGUUAACCUGUAGUGUAGCUAUUCGAUCGUGGUCAUCGAGGGUGAUUUCCUCUUUAACCACUUCCGAUACGACUCUGUCGUGCAACCCCUCAAGUGUGAACCUCGAGGGUGAUUCCUCUACGUUCACCUUGAUGAUUACAUUGAGUGGAACCCACCGGGGGUGAUUCCUUGGGUUUUCCUCUUGAUGUUUGGACACACGGAUACUUGGACUUUACAACUGUUACUUGGAAAGUGAUGUGGAGACGGGUUGACCUGGAAGGUGCCCGUGAGAUAAUUACGAGGCGUGGCCGGGCAUUCUUAGCCCUUGUCGCAAGUCCUCGAGACGGGGCAACGGGGUCACCUCUUUCGUGAGGCUCUGCUUGUUACCGCGCGUUCCUAAUCCACUACGAUUUGGAUAUUUGAUCCGAGGGGCCUCUGGCCUGAUAGCACUAACCAUCACGUGGGCAUAGUAUGGGCGUUCUGCGUCGUAUACAUCAGCCAAAGCUUAAUAGACGUCAGCGACGGAGCGGCGCGCGCCGGGUUGGACUGGUAAGCUCCUGCCUUUUUAGGGAGGUAGCUAGGUCUGCUCACCGGCCGCCCACGCAACGUGCAGGAGUUUCCGGGGAGAUGGCCCAUGACCCCUGGGGGCAUAGGUUUAGUCCGGCGUGCUGGCCUCUCUAUUAAGCCUAGGUCGGGUUGCGGCGUAUUGUUUGGCCGAGGCCGGGCAUGACCCUGGAAAGUGUGUCCGGCCGGAGUUAAGCGAGCGUGGUGGGUAAGUUGGUGCACCCCUGCAGGGAAGAACUAAUCUAUGCAUAGCCUGUCCUACGGUAACGGACACUUGGAGUUGUAUCCCGAUCGAUACAACUAGAACUGGAUACUUGUGAUGAGAACUGGAUGGUGAUGAGGAUUUGAUUGAGAUGAUAAUUGGAUAGUAUGGCUCUGGGAUUGCUUUCUCGCAGGGAGUCGAGAAAGGAUCUCUGGCCGAGGUUGAUAAGACUACUACCGUUUUACUUUAUGAUACUCUACUCCCUCGUGUUUGUGGCAAGAUGGUGGUUUCCAGAAGAUGCUAGUCUUCGAUAGGACUAGACCUUCUCUCUAUUCUGGCAUUUCUGCAGCCCAGUCCACAUAUAUAGCCUUCCUUUGAUAAUGUUGCAUAUGUAGUGUAGAUCCUUGCUUGCGAGUACUUUGGAUGAGUACUCACGGUUGCUUUGCUUCCCCUUUUCCCCCUUCUUUCUUCUUUCUGGUUGUUGCAACCAGAUAGUGGAGUCCAGGAGCCAGAUGCCACCUUUGACGACGGCUGCUACCCCGAGGAUGCCUACUACCACGUGACGGACGCCGACGACCAAGAGUAGUUAGGAGGCUCCCAGGCAGGAGGCCUUGCCUUUUCGAUCGUUGUUGUUUUGUGCUAGCCUUCUUAAGGCAAACUUGUUUAACUCAUGUCUGUACUCAGAUUUUGUUGCUUCCGCUGACUCGUUUGUAUUCAAGCUGAUGUAUUCGAGCCCUCGAGGCCCCUGGCUUGUAAUAUAAAGCUUGUAUUAUUUUAAUUUGUGUCUAGAGUUGUGUUGUGAUAUCUUCCCGUGAGUCCUUGAUCUUGAUCGUACACAUUUGCGUGUAUGAUUAGUGUACGAUUGAAUCGAGGGCGUCACACCGGACAAUCUUUUUUGCUUAAUUAAUCAAUGAGACAAAUCUUUUAUCUUUGUUUUAGAAAAUAGUGUUGCUUCCCCUAAAAAAAGAAUUAGCGCCGCUUGAUUCCAAUAUUGAUAGACCUUGUCAUCGUUGCCACGCGCCCAUCAGGGAGGAAGGCAGUGGGGCAUCGAUGUUGUGUGGCGCUGCGACACCAACACGAGCAACAAUAAUUUUUUUAGAACCACCGUCUAUUGCAAAAUGUUUUGGGAAAUACAGAUAAUAGAUGGCGGAGACGUUAACCAGACAUGAUGGCACGCCCACAAAGAAGACGCGACUUUCACAAGAUUGUGAGCCUCAACAUUGCUGGUUCGUCUUUCAUGUUAUAAAAAAGCAGUAAAAAAUUCUUUUUGCCUUGAAAUAAACUCACUAACUAUGGCAACAUUGCUAACUUGGUUUUCUUCCAUGAUAUUCUUCAGCUCCUCCAUACAGUCUGUGGCCAUUUGCACGCGAGACAGGUUGAGAUCAAAGGCAGAAGAUAAUGCCCCGCUCACACGCAGCUACCUAAUAUUUUUUUGAGAAACAUCUUUUUUUAGCAAAAUUUGGAAAACAACUACUUACGUUUGUGUUUCAUAUACACUUUGUCCGCUUAAACCAGUCCACCGGCCCAAGAAACAAUUCAGGCUCAAUCAACCACAGCUGAAGUAGAUAGUUCCGUGGAGCAGCAGCCCGAGAGAUGUCCAGGCAAGCGAUCGUACGGCUAGCAACGCCAAAGCUUUGUGGAGGCUUCCAGCUCGCCCUGUUAUAUUGUUUAGUAAUAUGCCAUAUGUUGCAAUUAGCACAAAUAUUUUUAUGCGAAAGUCUAUUUUUGGUACGUAAUUUUAUUAAUAUCCUCUUUGAUUUCCAUUAUAGAAACCACCACCAAAUUUUAUGAAUUUCAAAAUCAAAACAAUCAUAAAAGGAGAAGGAGCACACAACUAAGCCAGUCCUAUAGAGCCAAAACAAGCAUGCCCAAAAGAAGCUAUUUAAAGCUGCAAACCAAUGCCCCAAAGCAUUACAUGGGCAUAUAACCCAUGAGGUUCACAUCCAAGAAACGACAUGCUCAAAAUAUCAUAGCAAAGCACAGAUAAGACGAAACCAGCUACACAAGCUGGCAAAACUUAGAGCUUUACCCUAACACCAAUUCUUGUUCGAUUCGAGCCAUCACUUCUAGCAUAAAUUUCUUCAGCAACUUGCUUGAUCUGCAUCACUCCUUGGUCAAUUCUUGCCCUAUCUUGUUUUUUUUUUUGGCAAUAUACUCCAAACAUUAAGAUGAUAACAUAGCCUAUAUACUACACUAAUGAAGCAGGAUCAUCAGGAAAGAUUUUAUCAAAGCAAGCUUUAUUCCUGGCUUUAGAACAGUCCAACAGAGAUAGCAACCCCCCACACGGAACAAUUUUCCUUUGGUCAUGAGGGAAUGAUUUGCUGCUGUUAAAAACCUAUAGUACAGAGCGUUUAGAUCACUGAAACACUCAUAUUUUUCUUUACAGAAGAAAUACUUUAGUAUUAGCGAAUAUUACAUAUAGAUGGUUUGGGGCAGAUCAUAUGGAUUGCCUAUGCACAACCGUUGGUGCAGAUCAUACACUACUGAUUCGGAACGAGUGCGAUCUGCCCAUGGCCACAGCUGACGGGGUGGCAACCUUAUCCAGGUCUAUCUGCUUGUCGUCCUGCCGAUCGAUCCCCUCAGCAGGGUCUGCUGGCUCUGGGCUCUCAUCGCAAGAAGUGACUAGGCGUGUAAAAUGUAAGCAAAGUUGGCAGAAAGCAAUGAAUCCAGCGCAGGCAAAAGCAUCGCCAUUCACUGCUCUGCCGACGAGCUCCACUCACUCAGUCGUAGCCCGGCCGUAGGCCCCUGGCCGGCUUGAGCAAGCACAUGUCGACAUCGAGUGAAUUAUUGGAGACCCCUGCUCUGCUGCCAUGGCAACGUACAUGGAAUUGAUAUCUCCCACCCACCNNNNNNNNNNNNNNNNNNNNNNNNNNNNNNNNNNNNNNNNNNNNNNNNNNNNNNNNNNNNNNNNNNNNNNNNNNNNNNNNNNNNNNNNNNNNNNNNNNNNNNNNNNNNNNNNNNNNNNNNNNNNNNNNNNNNNNNNNNNNNNNNNNNNNNNNNNNNNNNNNNNNNNNNNNNNNNNNNNNNNNNNNNNNNNNNNNNNNNNNNNNNNNNNNNNNNNNNNNNNNNNNNNNNNNNNNNNNNNNNNNNNNNNNNNNNNNNNNNNNNNNNNNNNNNNNNNNNNNNNNNNNNNNNNNNNNNNNNNNNNNNNNNNNNNNNNNNNNNNNNNNNNNNNNNNNNNNNNNNNNNAACUCCUGCAUCGUCUUGUAUCUACACCACCUUGGCAUUGCUAGACAGGACAGCCUAUAUUGACGUAGACGCAGCAGGAGCAGCAGCAGCGAACUCUGUCAGUUCUCUAGCAUCUCCGGUGAAGCAAGCAAGCAGAGAGAUGGCGUCCCCUCGUCGCAUGGCCGCCGCGCCCGCCGUCCUCCUCCUCGUCCUGCUCCUCCUCGUCGCCACGGGUACGCCCGUCCGUCCGUCCAUGGAUAGUAGUAAUGAGCAUCUCUACUCACCGGCCGGCACUUACUUAUUGAGUUAUUGGACUGUGGUUGCAUUGCAGAGAUGGGGACGAUGAAGACGGCGGAGGCCCGGACGUGCCUGUCGCAGAGCCACAAGUUCAAGGGCACCUGCCUCAGCAACAGCAACUGCGCCGGCGUGUGCCGCACCGAGAACUUCCCCGACGGCGAGUGCAACUCCCACCGCCUCGAGCGCAAGUGCUUCUGCAAGCGCACCUGCUAAGCAAGCCCAGUCCGCGCUACUGGCUCUGGCUAGCUAGACUGCUAGAUCAGCAGCCAUGCCGUCAGUUAGAUCUGUUCGUCCCUACUUUUGUUUCCGUUUGCUUUACGUUGCUCUUGGGGAUGACUGAAAAUAAAGUAGCUACCUACAUCCUCUGCAUUGGCUGUUCCACUGCAUGUUGUCUAAGUGUUUCUGGCUUUAGUUUGUGCUGUUGAUGUAAUAACGAUGCCACUAACAAUUUGGCUUCUAUGUGUUGUGUUGAAACUUGGAAUCAAUCGGUUAUUAGUUGGCUUGUCUGUUAAACGGAGUAAACAAUUGUUUUAUUGUUUCUUUUUUUAUGAGAGAAACGGAGCAAGCAUUUUCAUGUAGCAAAACAAACUUCCCAAGUUUCACAGCUAUAUUAACUCGACGUGCAUGAAUGGCUCUGUUUUUUAACAUACAAGUUAAAAAAAAUUAAAUACAUGUACAAACAUUUUUCAAAUACACAUAGAGUUUUGUUUAAUGGUACAGAAGUUUUUUUACAUUGUAUAAACUUUUUUUGCAAAUACCUGUUUGAAUUGUUUUUCAAAUACAUGCAAAAGAUUUUUUUUUAAUACACGACGAACACAUUUUUCAAAUGCAUGUUCAAUUUUUUCUAAUGGUACCAAAUAUUUCCUGGAAACAUUGUUUACAGUGUAUAAACAUUUUUUAUAAAAUUUCCUUAACAUAUUUUUGAAAUCAUGAGAACAUUUUUUCAGAUGUCACAAACAUUUUUAAUUAAAAAAAUAUGUUCUAAAAUUACGCAAAAGAAUAAAUUGUAUAAAUAUUAUUUAAAAAUUUCAUGAACAUUCUUUGAACACCUGAACAUUUUUAAAUGUUAUGGAUAUUUUUUUCUGAAUAGUACAAACAUUUUAUGAUAGUUCACCAUUGAUGUUGCACAUGUCCAGAGUAUAGAUAAUUCUUCUGACACAAAGAAAUGUUGCAGAUGCACCGCUAAUACAUAUAUUUAUGACAAGAGGAAAUAUUUACAGGAAAGAAGAAGCAUUUUUUUCUGGAGAGCAGCGUUUCUCCUCCCGGGCUCAAAUGAGCCCGGGCAAAAUCAGAAAAUCUUUAAAAAUAGAAAAAAAUCAGAAAAUCCUGAAUUUUAUUUGGAAGCAAGAUGCUCAUAUGCGUGACGUUCAUGCAAAAAUAGGUGGAGUUUGGACAUUUGAGGAGCGCGCGACAAAAAAGACAAAAUUCAGCUCUGUGAGUAAGGUUACUGUUCACGCACUGUUUGGACCGAUUUUCUCUUUUUUGCCACGAGCUUCUCAGAUGUCCAAACGGGAUGAAAUUUUGUACGGACAUCAUGCACGCGAACAUCUCCAUACAAAAAAACUUCAGAUUUUUUUUUGAAAUUUUCUAGCAUUUUCUUUGAAUCUACUGUAGCUUAGGAGCAGAUGAGCCCGGGCACCGAGUUGGAUCUCCAUUUUUUCUGAGCAAACUGAAAAGAAGAAGCAAUUAAAUGGAUAAUAGCACUAAAAUCAUAUAUGGGCCACCCAGUAGUGCAGCCCACCCAGUAGUGCAGUCCAAGUCGCACGCGCACCCCGCAGGCGGACUGACCACUACUUGUUGUAUAUAUAAGAUAAGAGAAGGCGACGGCGUGGUGAAAGAGAACAAGGAGGGGUGGUGUUGCUCCAUCCCUUGUCCUUGGAUCGCUGAGGUGGCUCAACCAAGGCCCUCCCUCGCUUAGCUGCUUGACUGAUUGGCAUCCCUAGACACACAUUCAUUCCAUUUACUCCUACUACAGGAAUGGGAGUUAAGUGGCACGGGGUUUCUCACGGCCAUUCAAUGAGGUUCCUUCCCAAGAUGCUGACAACAAGCCAGAGCAAUUUAUUUGUUUUCCUACAUACAACGACUUCACAUGCUUCUUGGACCGACCCGUUAAAUGCUAUAUACACAGCCAAAAACAGAGGUGUUUUUCUAUGAGAAUUAUUUAGAACAGUUUUGUACAUUUUUAAACAUGACCGGCACAUGGUGAUGAAUUGAGUUAAUCUGAAUGAAGCAUGAUCAUAACUCACACAGCUCUGUGUUCGGCUUCGCUUCGAGUCGCCCCGACGAUGCGGAGUCGGGGCAUGGACUUGCUCCGCCCAUCCUCGCUAUAUCAACAGUUGCAGGAAUUUGGCAAAAUCUCAGUGCUUGGUAAUUAAUUUGAAGCCAACUCACUGAGUCGCUCAGUGGUGUAGUAAUCUGGAGAAAAACUCUCAAAGGAUAGGGAUAGAUAGAUAGCCAUGAAACAAAACAAUCACCAUGCUAAUCAAAGAUGCUUAUUCACAACACUAACACCCCAUAUAAAACCCUCUUUGUGGAACAUGUGCACAUAUUUUGACAGAGGUUGUGGCUCUAAGCUUACAUCAUGUUGUCUAGGUAAUUAAGAUGAAGUACUAUACUAUGAUAGCAGUCAAUAUGGGAGGCAGAUUCUCAUGUCUUCAUAUAUGCUCUACUAAGGUUAAUUCAAUACUUAUUCAACACAUACUUUCUAGAGAAUUAUAUUUUUGGACUCAUAAUUUCAAGACCCAACACAUACCCAAAACCAAGAGAACACAAUCAGGCAAGGUUAAAAAAAAAGAGAAAACUAUCUGCAAAAAAAUACUAGUUAAAGCAAUACGAACCAUAGGAAAAUUGAUAACAUUAAUCAAGAUAAAAUUCGCAUUUCAACAAAAAAAUUAAAUUUAAGGAGGAGUAACCUUCAAAAAAAUCAGACAUCUUGGCAUGCAUAGUACUCCCUCCGUUCCUUUAUAUAAGGUGUAUUGUUUUUUUUUUUGAUAAAAUUCCACAAUGUAAGGUGCAUUUCUUCUAAUUCUCUUUAUAUCGCUCCAGAAAGAGGAAAUGAUCUCUCUCCCCAUUUACUAUAUUUCUCCUUGUAUCAAAAGAAGGAAACUUCUCUCUCUCGAUUGCAUGUAUCUCUUACUUUCCUGCACUCACUGAUUUACUUGGCACUAACCAACAAAUUUGUCGAGGGUAAUUUUGUCAACAUCUCUAUAAUUAUGGGCCUUCGUUACCGUGCCAAAAAUAAUACACCUUACAUAAAGGAACGGAGGGAGUAUUCUUUAGUAAAAGACGGAAGACUAGUCCAAAACAUCAUCUAUUUUAGAAUGGAGCAAGUGCUCUGCCUUGCAAAAAUGUUGUAUUAAUUAGAGCGAUAUUCUAGUUUUUGCACUUGUAGGAUCCAACAAAGGUAGCAGAAUAUGCGCAAGUUGCAUGUUAACAUAAUUCGACGAUGAUCCACUUGGUUCCUUAAUUAUUAAUACAUGAUGAAGGAGCACAAGAUAAUGGGCUAGCUGAUCAAUCAUGCACCAGGGAGAGAUAAAAUACAGACAAGUUGCAACUGGGAUGCCUACAUUUACCUAAUUAACAACUUUUUUCCAACAAACUAUGAGAUUUUAUGGAUUAAAGUUCAUAAUUCGCACUAGGCAUGAAAAUGAACAAACAAAAGGGCCAUAAUUUUUUUUGUUCUAUCUGUUUCCAUCAAUGUAAAUCGGGGGCGGAGAUGUCCUUAUUUUGAAAUUAAAUAAAAUCGGAAAGAUUGCUUCUUUUUUUUAAGAUCCCGCACUUGCUGGCUUCAUUUAUUUAGCAGGGAACACACGGAAAACAUGGUAUUGAUCAAGUGAUCAUGGAAUAAUGGACAAAAGGAGAGGAAUAUUGGUGUAUGGGCCACCACCAUUUGUUUGCUAAUUGGAUCACUUAAACGACUCGUGUAUCAUGAGUCAUGCAUGACACUAGUUAAUGAAGUGGACAUACAAAGGUAGGGGCACGGUGCAUGUUAAACAAGUAAAAGGUGCACCACAAGAUCUAGCAGCCAGGUCGGUCGAUCCACUUGUGCAUGCACAAGGAAUAAAAUUAAAGCCAACGCUGAUCUAGAGAUGUAGUUGCAGUGCAGGUUCCUUGACGACCCUUGGUGCCAUGAAAGAUGCAUGAUACUACCUAUGUAAAGUAAUAUAAGAUGUUUUAGAUCACUUAUAUAUUACUUUUACUUACAUGGUAGAUUAUUGAGUAGAUUAUGAGUUAAUAUACAAUUUGACGUGCUCGUACGUUGGCAUCACAAUUCACAAUUCCAAUUCCCAUAUGGAUCGUCGAUGAUGCGCAUGCAUCUCCAGCCACAUCCUUUUUCUAAAAAAAUGCAUCUCCAGCCACAUGCAUGUCAAUGAUCAGUUGGUGUGCCUUGAUCUCGAUUGAUUUGGACAGUGAUCUUUCGCAACUUGAAUUAAUAAUCACCCGAUCGCAUCGAGCGAACCAGCGAGCGAGCACCACCAUAUAUAUUACUGGCGCACACAACAACCAGCCAGCAGCGCCUACACAGCCAGCCACUAAUUUCUUUCUCUCCCUCCCCUUCCGCGAUCGGCCGAUCGAGCUCUGAUCGCCAUGGGCAGCGUGGCCGCCGCCGUGCAGGAGGACUCCACGUCGCCAUCGGAGCUGGAGGCGGCGUUCCUGGAGCGGUGCGCGGCGUCGGGCGACGCGGCCUACGGCGAGCUGAGGGAGCUGCUGGCGCGCCUCCACGACCCGGCCACGCGGCAGGAGGCCAGGGUCUUCCUCACCGGCCUCCGCCGCCGCUCCUGCUCCGGCGAGGACGAGGACGAGUUCUUCCGGCGGUACGGGUUCUGCGUCCGGGAGCUGCUCCUCCACGACUCACGCUGCGGCCUCCCCAUCACCACCCUCUCCUCAGGUACGUACACCACCUCUCAAUCCAGCAUCAAAUUAUGCGCUCAUCUCUCUGCGAUCGAAUAAUUCCUGUCCUUUCUUGUUUAUUAUUUUUUGUUUCUUCUGUUCUUGCUGUCAUUGUCUUCUGGUGACGACGAGCGAUUAGGACGUGGUGAUGAUUUUUUCUACGCAUGUUAACGCCUAACCACAGCUUAGCUAGACAGGGUCAAGUCAACCUCCAAGUCUUAUUAUCAGAAAAACAAAAUUGUACGUAUAGUAGCACUAGCUACUGUAUUUCGCCGUCGCUUACGGCGGAAAAGAAAACAGAAAUACACCAUCUUUUGUCUCUGCAAAAAUACAACCACAUUGCGAUCGACAAGUACGCCAUCUUUAUCUGUUUCUGGCGGGUUUUCUGAGAGAUUUUGAGCGUGGAGAGAUUUCUUUUAGUGGAGGAGGAUGUCUGGUAAAUAAAAAAAGAUUGGGCCCGUCCGAUUUCCGUGGCCCACGGGAAACCCCAGUUGUCCUGCCAAGCUUGAGCUCACUCCUCCUAAAGAAAAGGACUGCAAAAAGCUUCAUCGGAUUGUCCACUACAAAGAGCUUUAGUUCUGUUAAAAAAAGUUCUAAAAAAAAUACAAAGAGCUUUAGUUAUGGUGCUCAUGGUAUACUAUUACAAUCCUAAAAAAAUUCACCACUAAUUAGUUGUCAUACUCACCACUGGCAAAUAAUGAAAAAUUGCAUAAAAUUAUAUUAGAAACAAAUCCCUGCUAAAUAAUCUUUUGUUUUCUUAAUGAAAAGUCAAGUAUACAUAUUUUUUUGACCCACACAUAUAUUAAAAACCAUGUAUUUUAGAGCAUGUGGUGCUCUCCUCAAUUAUUGGCAUAUACCUAGCGUGCCAAUAUUUAGAGGAAAUACACGUGAAGUAAACGCAUGCUAAAAUGUCACUAUUAUAAAGCAUACACGUGGGUAACACAUUAAAUUUCAUUGUUCUGUGGACAAAUAUAGCAACAUCUGAUCUGGACGCGAAAUGAUUUUAUCCACUGUAUGCUAGGCUAGGAUACAUUGUCUGAGAAUCAAAUUAAAGGAGCAUUGUUUCCUCACGAAAGAAUUUAGAAAAUAAAAAUGAAUUAAACUACGUCCUGAUCUCUGGAAAAAAGUAGAGAGAAAACAAAUAUCCAGAAAGAAAAUAGCGAUUUUUUUUGCAAAUGACUAGAUAGUGACUUUUAAAUUCUUUUUUUAGUAAAUAAAUAGUCACUUUGAACUGAUAUUUCCCACAAAAAAAGAACUGAUAUUACAGACUCUCUGUAAAGCUACGUACAUUGUGAUCGAGCUCUCUUUUUUUGUGGCUUUUUUGCGGAAAAUUUCUUGCACUGCCAAUGAAUGGGUCAAUCUCAAGAUUGGGCAGGCUAUCGAUACAGACAGGUCCGGCCCAUCACAUCUUUGUGGCCUAUGGCCAUGAACUAUCAUCUACAGUAGCUUCCCACGUGGGAAAAGUGGCAUGAUUUGUACUACUACUUAAUUAUUUUUGUUCCUACUUCCAAAUUUUUUUUGUCCCCCUCAAAAAAAUUUAUUUUUGUCCUACAAAUGUGGAGUGCACAUAAUUUUUUUCUUGGAACACAUACACGUUGGCUUAAAGUUCAUAACGGUACUGCUACAAAAAUGGCUUCUACAAAAUGUAAAAAAGCGGUCGAUGAAAAAAAAAUGAAAUCAAUGCAACCACAACGCGGGGCCAUGAUUUAAUUACAUGUAUUCCACACGCGGUGAACACUCCGUCUAUUAUCCAUCUCUCUCUUUCUCUCUCUCUCUCCGUCGAUUCGAUCAUUCUUGACUAAGAAGAGAGGCAGCAAGAGGAAUAUUCCUGUCAUUUUUAUUUUGUGUGAGUAUUGUUUAUGUGUGUUCUGUUUCUUGCUGCCAUUGUCUGAUGACGAUUAGAGAUGACGACGUGCCGGUGGAUUUUUCUAUGCGUAUGUUAAUACAUCUAACCACAGCUUGGCUAGCUAGACAGGGUCAAGUCAACCUCCAAUUCUUUUACAGAAAAAAAAUAUAGGAGCACUACCUUCCAUAUAGUACUUCCCACUGUAUUUUGGCAUGGCUUAAUCAUUUUUAUCUCUGCAAAAACUCAGAAAAAAAAGCAUACGUACCACGUUGCGGUCGACAAGUACACCAUCUUUAUCUGUUUCUCGUGGAUUUUUCUUUUUUGAGAAAAUUCUCGUGAAUUUUUCUGAGAGAUUUUGAGUGUGGAGAGAUUUUUUUCAUUUUAGUUCAGGACGAUGCAAUCCAACGUCUGGUCAAUAAAAAAGAUUGGGCCAUUUAUCAAAAAAAAAGAAGAUUGGGCCAGGGAUAGACAAAGACAGCCUCGGCUCGUCAGAUCUCCGUGGCCCUCUAGAAACCCCAAUUGUCCUCCCAAGCUUGACCUGACCCUGAAAGAAAAGAACAGCAAAAAGCUUCAUUGGAUUGUCCGCUAUAAGGAGCUUCAGUUAUGGUGCUCAAUGUAUGGUACGUAUUACAAUUUUCAUUUUUUUCACCACUGCUAAUUAGUCUUCAUACUUACUACUACUUACAAGGAUAAUAAUAUUAUUAGGAACAUAAAAUUUAUUUAAUUUAAUUUUAUUAUUAACGAAAAUUCAAAUAGACACAAAAAUGUUUGACCGUCGGAUAUUUUAAAAACGUGUAUCUCGGAGCAUAAGCUGCACUCCUUAAUUACUGUUAUAGCUAGUGUGCCAAUAUUUAGAGGACAUACACGUGAAAUAAAUGCAUACUGAAAUGUCACUAUUAUGAAAUAUAUAUAUUUUUUCUCUGAUUAAAGUCGACACACAAGGGUAAAGCUUUAAAUUUAAUUUUUGUGAAGACCAAUAUAGCGUCAUCUGAUCUGGACACAAAGCUAGGAUGCACUAUCUGAGAAUUGAAGUAAAGGAGCGUUAUUCCUCACAAAGAAGUUGGAAUUUAAAAGAAAAGAAAAUAUAAUUAAACUAUGUCCUAAUCUAUGCUAAAAAAGAGGAGAAAACAAAUAUCCAAAAAGAAAAUAGUGUUGUUUUUCAAAUAACUAGAUGAUGACUCUGAACUGAUAUGACUAGACUCUUGGUGGAGGUAGGUACAGUGUGAUUUAGCUGUUUUUUUUAUGUGCGAUAUUUUGAAGAGAAUUUCUUUUAGUGGAUUUUUUUAGAUUUUCUUUUAGAUGUUUUUAGUCUUUUAGUGGAUGCAUUGCAAUGUCUGGUCAACCUCAAGAUUGGGCCAGCGGUCGAAGCAGACAGCUUCGGCCCAUCACAUCUUCAUGGCCCACAGCCAUGAACUCACGUGGAGAAAAAGUUCAACUAAGAAAACGUGGAGAAAAAGUGCCCCUAAAAAUUAUGGAGACAGAUGUGGAGUUUCUACAUAUGGAGACAAAUAUGAAGACAGAUGUGCCCCUAAAAAACGUGGAGCAUUUGUGCAUGAGCUCAAAUGCUCCUGGUAUGAACAGUAAAAUAGAAAAAAUUCAAAAAAAAUCUGAAUUUUUUUUGUGGCAUACUUUAAGAAAUGUUUGUCAUGCAUGCAAAAUUUCAUCAUGAAAUCACAUUUGUGGAAGGUGUGGUAAUAAAAACAAAAUCGAUGCUCUGAAAAUGUUACUUACAAACGCAUUUUGGAGCUCUAAUUUUUUUUGGCACGGCUUCCAGCAAUUAGAUUUCGUGAUGAAAUUUUGCAUGCACAACAUACAUUUGUGAAGGUAUGUCACCAAAAAAAUUCAGAAUUUUUUGAAUUUGUUUUCUAUUUUUUUACUAUUCACGCCAAGAGCAUUUAAGCAUGGGUGUAGAAAGGUACUUUCGGCAUAAUUUGCACUACUUGAUGAUUCUUGCUGUACAAAUCUAGAGUCCACACAAUUUAGAACGCAUACACGUGGAAUUAAUGUUCAUAACAUCACUGUUACAAAAAUGAUUUCUACAAUAUGCAAAAAUUUGGUUGAUGGAUUUUUUUUGUUUAAAAUCAACGCAACUACAAAGGUGGGACAAUUAUUUAAUUAGACGUAUUUCACACGUGGAGGAUACUGCUAAUUAUAAUCCUUUUGGUUUGUAAUUGCUGACACAGUGACAAUUAUACCAUUGAUUUAGAUGAGGAGGAAAAUGAAAAUGAAAUUGAAGAAGCAAACUAUAAAACUGCCUAUCUAUCCCUCUCGGUCAGAUUAUCCAUCUAUCUAUCUCUCGACCAGUUGAUCCUUCUCAACAAACAAGCUAGCAGGCGAGAAGGAUUUCCAUCUGUUAUUUAUCUAUAUAUCAUAAUAUAUGUAUGUUUUGUCUUUGUUAUCGUAGUCGGUGACAAUGAUAGACUAUGACCUGGUGAUUGAUUUAUUUAUUUUUUGCGGGUAAGGUGGUGGAUUUUUCUAUCCAUGCUACUAACAACUAACUCACAUCUUAGCUAGGCAGUCUCAACCUUCAAGUCUUGCUUGUAGGGUAAGUACUCAUGUUGUUCACAAUACAUUAUUAUAUAAUUAUUUCUCACAAGUAAAUUGUUGUUGUGUGCACUGUAUCCAAGAAUAAGAAUUUGCAUAAACUUAUCUCAAAACAAUUCCCCGGCUAAAUUAUACGUAAAAGAAACUUGUGUAACAUCGACGUCGUCUGGGCCACUAAAAUUUUCUUCAAAAAUAAAUAAUCAUAUGGAUAUUUAAGAGUUGUAGGAUUAGCACGAAAACGGCAAUGAAGCGUGUGAGACGCAUGGUAAUGAACUAGUUGUUUUCAGCAUAAGGGGCACUCUUUAAUUAUUGUUGUGUAGCUAACAUGGACGUGACCUGCCAAGUUAAUGUCAGCUACAAUGUCACUGUUAUACUGAAAUCGACACAUUGUUGCGUGUAAAUGGGGCCAUGUGUUGAUUAGGCACACUGUGCACAUGGGAAACACGGUUAGUUUCAUUGUCGUGGGGACAAAUUUAACGACAUAUGCUUUAGAAGACAACUAAUAUUAUCCACAUGAGUGAGUUGUCGUCAUACACGUGACAUACCAAGUUAAUGCAUGCUAAAACGUCGUUGUUAUAAAAUGUUCCAUUCAAGCCGAUGCAUUUUUACACUUCACGUGUGGAAAAACAUGUUAACUUUGAUUGUUGUGGGGGACAGAUAUAGCAACACAUAGACGGGGAAAUAUUGUUAUCAGCAUACGUGAUUCAUCAAUAGUCAUGCGCCAACUCUUAAUUACCAUUGCUAUCAAGAUGAACACAUGAGGCAAUCAUUCGUAAAUUGAAAGACAAGUAUUCACAUUAAACUGUACUCGAAAUUCUCGGGAAAAAUUAAAUAUGUAUGUUAGUUUAGUGGCGCAUGCCAAGUCAAAGUUGAAAUAAUUUCUUGUCCCAUCCGCUACUCAUUUCAUAGAAAUGGCGGUAAAGUCAAGAAAGAAGUCAUGGAACUCCCAUGCACCACACAUGGGGAUUGAAAAAUGGCACCAUAUAUACAUCUUUAUAUUGCUUUCGCCAUAGAAAAAUGAAAGCCAUGGAUUGAGUUCACCGAGGUGUCUAUUUUAUUUUACUUUUCUCCAUCUGAGUGAUAGCACCUUCAAAGGAGAAAAAGUCACACACCACUAAUACAUACAUACCAAUCCUAUGGACCACAUAUUAGCAUGUCUAUAUAAUUAUCCGCAGAAUUUGGGGAAGAAAGUGCAAAAUGGAAGAUGAAGAAAGCUAUAUAGCACCAACUUGGUGGCUCACCUAACCCACAUGCAUCAUGAGGUUUUAAUUCUCCUCCCCUUUUCAAUUUCAAAAGUCUAAGGAGUCGGAUGUACUACUAUUUGAUGAAUCAAAUUAAAGGAGCAUUAUUGCGUCAAAUAAAAUAGCCACAUUAUACUAUUAAUUUUUUAAAUACUAAAUGAUACACAAUAGAAUAUGUAUUAUUUUAAGAUGAAAAAAUAUUUGCAGCCACAAAAAGUUCUCAAGCAAAAUGAUGCUGCCGCGAAUCUCCGAAGAAUACGAAUUUAUGUUUGUACCCUUGUUGUCCACCGUGAGAUCUAGAGUCUUCGCAGCUCACCUGCCUAUAUAGCAAGCGGGCUCCCCUUCGCCAUUGCUUUUCCACCUUGCCUCUAUUUUAUAUGAGUUCAUCAGAGGUCUAUUUAUUUUGAGGUCUAGAGUUCUCAAGCAAAAAACAACACCAUUUUAUAUGAGUGCUGAAAAAUGACACUAUUUAUUUAUAUUUGUAAGUACCUGUCCAAAUUGUUUUUGCCAAUGGGGAACAAAAAAGGGUGUGGUCUGAGUUCAUCAAAGGUCUAUUUCACUUAUUGUACUUCCCCACCUUCACAUGAGAAAAAGUAAGAGACAAAAUAAUACCAAUCCUAUGGACCAUAAUUUUAGAACAUUUUUUUGCAAGAUUUGAGGAAAGAGGAACAUAACAUAUAAAAAGAUGUAAAUGAAGCUUGUAUGUAACACCAACUUGGUGGCUCACAAUCAUCACGAGGUUUCAAUUUCUCCCCCUUAGGAUAUACUAUGUCUGUAGCCUAAGCUUACAAUCUUCUCAAUUUAAAAAGCCUAAGCUUAGGAUAUACUAUGUCUGUAGCCUACCAAAACGUCUAAUAUUUUGGUACAAAGAUAGGUACUACUCUUUUUUUAUCCAUUUUGAUGACAAGUAUUUUCGAACGGAGGGAGUACUUUUUAAGAAGGAAUAGCAAAUUAAAGGAGCAUUAUUGGCCCCGGAAAGAAUAGAGCAGCAUUAUUGUGUAUAAAAAUAUCUACGGCCUCAUAAAUUAAAAAAACUAUAUACAUGCAUUAUGGCACAUGUAUAGUAGUAUUAUUUUAUAAGAUGAAAAUCAUUUGCAGCCUAAAAAAUUAUUCAAGCAAUUAUUUUGGAGGCGCUGGUGUCACAGGAUCUCCCAGUAAAUAGGAAUUGACGGUUGUGCCCUCGUCGUCCACGGCGACGACGUCUAGCCCCUUCGCCCCGCCUCCACGGGCCGGGCCCCUAUAUAGCCAGCCGGCUUCCUCUCCGCCAUUGCUGUCCCCCUCAUUGACCUCACACCUCACCUCCUCCUCCUCCUCUUCCCACUCCUACUCGAACCUCGCAUCCAGAACGACCAUCUGACCCGGUCCGCUGAGGGGAAUGGCUGCGGCGGCGGAGGGCGUGGAGGCGUUCCUGGCGACGUGCGCGGCGUCGGGGGACGCGGCGUACGGCGCCGCCAAGGCCGUGCUGGAGCGGCUGGACGCGCCGGCCACGCGCGCCGAGGCCAGGCGGCUCCUGGGCGCCGUGCGACGGCGCUUCGCCGCCGGCGGCCCCGCGGCCGGCCUCGAGUGCUUCCGCACCUACCACUUCCGCAUCCACGACGUCGUGCUCGACCCCCACCUCCAAGGUCCCUCCUUUUCCCCCCCUCCAUCCACAUCCCAUCCGCACAGAAAAAGAAAAUACAGUAAAUCUACCGCCAUUGGCGGGCUAGGCGAUCUGGGCGCGGCGCCGGAACCUCGCGGCCCGGCGGGCAAUCCCGGCUCGAUCCGGUUACCGCCGCCGGAAAUCCCAGUUUCUUGACAGGAUAUUUCCCCCCCAGUUCUUAUUAUUAGUCACCACUGCUUGCUAAGUGCAGUGCUAGUGCUACCAUCAGCAGCAGCCCAACAAGAAACAAAUACAGUAUAUAACAAGGAUCCAAUUUUGCCAAGAAUCCGAUGAUCCACCCACCCAUUGGGGAGGGAGGAGAGGAUAACAUUAUUAUUGCAUUACUCAAGCAGCACACACGACAAGGAUCCUUUGGGGAGCCGUGUAGCCCAUGUGGCCGCUGUGUUGGCUGGUGAGGAUUCGGUCCCCAUGCUCUUCAUCCGGGGAGCAGCUUGCCUGGGAUGCUGAGUAAGUAAUUUGGACACUCUCCGUUUGGCCCUUUGUAUCGAAUGGGAAAUGCCUUUCGUCAAGUGCUCCGGUUCAGGAUAUGCUACUGGAUAAUAAUCUUAAUGCGAUUGUGACGUGCCUCCUUGCACGAGGCUUUGAUUUGAUAGUAUAUCUCACGGAAUCGGCGGUCUGGGUGCCGGAAUCUUGCGGUCCGGUGGAAAAUUACGGGCUCAAUCCGGUUACUGCCGUCAGUAAUUUUUGUUCUCAUCGUCAGUAAAUUGGUUCGGUGAUAAAACAUUUCCCUAGCUCAGCUGAUGCUAGUUAUUAAAUUGUUGUUAUUGGCAGCUCAGUGCAGAGUAUUAUUGUGUUAUCGCCAUACUAGCAAACACACCGAAGAUCUGACUUUGUGUGCCCAGUGACUGAGCCACCCAAUUGGAAGGAAAACGAUUACAUUAUUAACUAAAUAACAAGGGCACAAUUAUGUGUGGACUGUAUAGUAUAUAGCACAAAAUUAUCUUGUUUGUUGCCAUGUGUAUGGGAUCUUUCAGAAUCGGCGUAUCCCAUGAUUGCGCUGGAGUGCUGACCAUGUGGCCGUUGCGUGAUGUUGUUCGCUGCUGCAAGCUAGUGUAAAGUGUCCCUGGAAGGAUAUACUAUACAUCUAAUAUUUAUGUAUGUACAAUGAUUCGGUCCCCAUGCUCCUUAUACAGGGAACAGCUUGCCUCGGUUGCUGAGUAAUUUAGGCUGUCCAUUUGGCUCUUUUAUCAAAUGGGAUGGGAAAUGCCUUUCUUCAUCUGUGUGACAUGUUUCGGUUCAGGAUUUGCUCUUGGACAAUCUCAAGUUAAUAUAUCCGAUCCUGGUGGGCACCUUUUUGAGAGAUUCCUCAAUCAUCAAGUAUAAUAUUUACGUAUGCAAUUUACAAACAGGGAGACAUUUUUUAAUAGGUCAGAAUUCAAAUUGAGCCAGACCUAAGAACUACUGGGGAUAGUUAGCUAGUUGCAUUCAGAUAUAUGGCUUCACUUGGACCACAUUGGUCUGUUGAACACUUACUAACUUAUUGGCUUGUGGAGGUAUGAUAAAAGGAUCAAGGGAUACACAUAUGAGAUUAGAACAGCCUGAGGCGUUGGCCAAAUGAUUCAUUUAAAGGAGUAUUUUGAUGGCCUUACUCCUUAGACAUCUCUACUGCAUGUUAGAUAUUUCGAAGAGAAAGGUUAUCCUAUUUAUUGGCAGAACAAACCUGCCCACCACCUCCUAUCAUAGUAAGAAUAAAAACAUGACAGUUGAGCCUGAGAUACUUAUUGCCAUAACAACUGAAAUAUAGCAUACAUACAACAUAUCUCUAGUUAACUAAUAUUGUAUAUAGAUUGACGUAGCCUUUGCACUGGAACAGCUGUGAUUUUACAAGAUUCUCACACUACCUGAAGUCUGGACCUGACACGAUUGUUAAUGUUUUUGUGUAUAAGUUGUCGUCUUUAGUUGGCGCACUAGUAAAAGCUUUCCCAGUUCACUAUGCAUUAACUUUUUCCUGAUCAAGUAUCUAUUAUUUGGUUUUCAUAUCUUGACAAAUUUAUCAACUGCUUCUAGGGUUCCAACAAAGAAAGAAGCUAACAAUGAUGGAGAUACCCAGCAUUUUUAUUCCAGAAGAUUGGUCAUUCACUUUUUAUGAGGGUCUCAAUCGGCACCCAGAUUCCAUCUUCAGGGAUAAGACAGUGGCAGAGCUGGGAUGCGGUAAUGGUUGGAUAUCCAUUGCACUUGCGGAGAAGUGGUGCCCUUCGAAGGUUGGUACCUCCUUUUCUGUGGAUAUUUAUUGUAUCUCCUUUUGCAAAAGUGGGACCUGCAGCAGUUAGACAUUUACUCAGGUUACUUGAGCAGAAACUUUUAGCUGUACUUGAUUUGCUUGGUAUACCUGAUAAAACAAUACAAGUUGAACAUAUUGCUUUCAAAAUUUGAGCACGGCACUACCACCACAUAUUAUUUCUACUAUGCUGAACAGUCACUGUCCUUUGAAAAGAAUAAAAGCAAGGACACACACUUCAGUAAUUUGAGCCACACAUACCAGUGAAUCAAAUUAGUUUGCAGUCGGCUUGGCAUUACAUUGCUUGAGCAUUGUUUGUUCUUUUGAAGGUCUAUGGUCUGGAUAUAAACCCAAGAGCUAUCAAGAUUGCAUGGAUAAACCUUUACCUGAAUGCACUAGAUGACGAUGGUCUCCCAAUCUACGAUGCGGAGGGGAAAACAUUGCUUGACAGAGUCGAAUUCUAUGAAUCUGAUCUUCUUUCUUACUGUAGAGAUAACAAGAUAGAACUUGAUCGCAUUGUGGGAUGCAUACCACAGGUAUGGUCAGGUUUUACCAAUUUUUUGUGAAAGGGCAUUAUAGUCGAUCAGCACUUAAUGAAAAUGCCCUUAAUGUCUGCCUUUCAGAUUCUUAACCCCAAUCCAGAGGCGAUGUCAAAGAUUGUAACUGAAAAUUCGAGUGAGGAGUUCUUGUACUCCUUGAGCAACUACUGUGCUCUUCAGGUAAGUUGAGAUAUGUCUUCUAUUUAAACUUGCCUUUCGUAAAAGAAUGACAGUUCUUAUGCCAUGAUGUACUAUGGCUGAUUGUACUGUUCUAGCUUCCUAUUGUUAAUUUUGUUUGUUUGUGAACUUACUGCAUCCAGGGCUUUGUUGAGGACCAAUUUGGCCUCGGGUUGAUUGCUCGUGCUGUUGAAGAAGGGAUAUCUGUGAUAAAGCCUAGUGGUCUUAUGGUAUUCAACAUGGGAGGCCGGCCAGGACAAGGUGUCUGUGAGCGCCUAUUUCUACGCCGUGGAUUUCGCAUCAAUAAGCUCUGGCAAACAAAAAUUAUGCAGGUAAUGAUGCGUUGACAAACUAAUCAGAGUGUUUUUCAUGCAAGCAUUAUGUCCUGGUCUUUUGAAAUAUGCUCUUCAUGUUGCAUACCAAUCUUUAGCUGGGCCUAGAAUUUUCAUCUACUAGCUUACAUUUUUAUAUUACAAGACCAUUUUUUUUGUUAAGGAUCAUUACCAACUAGUUGGGUCUUUUCAGGCUGCUGACACAGACAUCUCAGCUUUAGUCGAAAUUGAGAAAAAUAGCCGACAUCGUUUCGAGUUCUUUAUGGAUCUUGUUGGGGAUCAGCCUGUGUGUGCACGCACAGCAUGGGCAUACAUGAAAUCUGGUGGCCGCAUUUCACAUGCUUUGUCUGUGUAUAGCUGUCAACUUCGCCAGCCCAACCAGGUACCUAUGCUCUCUGAUUACAUUUAUUAAAAAAAAUAAUGGCGGGAAUAGUACUAAUUUGGUGAAUUUCAGGUGAAGAAAAUAUUUGAGUUCCUUAAAGACGGAUUCCAUGAAGUCAGCAGCUCCCUUGAUUUGUCCUUUGAUGACGAUUCUGUUGCUGAUGAAAAAAUUCCUUUCCUGGCAUACCUAGCUAGUUUCUUGCAAGAGAACACGUCUAAUCCUUGUGAGCCUCCAGCUGGAUGUUUAAACUUCCGGAAUCUUGUUGCCGGAUUUAUGAAGAGUUACCACCACAUCCCAUUAACUCCUGACGUAAGACUUGGUGUUUAUUCCUGUGCAAUUAUGUUUGUUUAUUAGGAAUUCAUAAGAUCAACCUAUUUGGUGUUUCUCACCUAUGCUUCAUGUGACACUCCUUUUUCUUUGCUGGUGCACCAGAAUGUUGUUGUGUUCCCAUCCCGUGCAGUUGCAAUAGAAAAUGCUCUUCGAUUGUUCUCACCGGGACUUGCAAUUGUUGAUGAACACCUAACCAGACACUUGCCCAAGCAAUGGUUAACAUCUUUAGCAAUUGAGGUACUUUGAUCAAUCCUCCCCUCUCUCUCUCCGCGUGUGUUUGAAACUUGGGAAAAAUACAUUCCUGUUCUGUGAAGAAAAAGUUAAUGCUGACAAGAAAUCUGAUGCGGUUGCCCCUCUUUUAAAUUUCAGGAAAGUGACCAUGCUAAAGACACUGUAACUGUAAUCGAAGCACCACGCCAAUCAGAUUUGCUGAUUGAGUUGAUCAGGAAAUUGAAGCCUCAGGUUGUUGUUACUGGCAUGGCUCAGUUUGAGGCUAUCACCAGUGCUGCUUUCGUGAACUUAUUAAGCGUAACGAAGGAUGUUGGUUCCCGAUUGUUACUAGAUAUUUCAGAGCAUCUGGAGUUGUCUAGUCUGCCAAGCUCAAAUGGUGUAUUGAAAUAUCUUGCUGGAAAGACCCUACCUUCGCAUGCGGCCAUAUUGUGUGGCUUAGUAAAGAAUCAGGUGCCUGUCAAUCAGCCUGAACUUUAGUUAAACUGCUGUGCAUACUUUUUUAUGUACUGUAGAAUCAUCUCCUUAAAUGUACUCAUUUCUGUUUGCUAAAUCUUGCAGGUUUAUUCUGAUCUGGAAGUUGCUUUUGCUAUCUCUGAAGAUCCAACUGUUUAUAAGGCAUUGUCACAAACUAUUGAGCUACUGGAAGGACAUACUUCUGUGAUCAGCCAGCACUAUUAUGGUUGUCUUUUCCAUGAGCUGUUGGCGUUUCAAAUUGGCGACCGGCAUCCACAAGAAGAGGUAAAAAUGACUUGCCUCUUCCAGUUCUCCAUCUUACUCGUUGUGACCGCAUGAUGCCGAAUGGCCUGUUUAAGUGGACACUCCCCUCAGCACGUGCCAGCUGGGUACUUUGAUUACACCACAAUGAGCUCCUCAAUGUGUUUGGAGGUGUUUGGUUUAUGUUUUUCAUCUUUCCCCUCUUAAUUUUUUGUUGCGCUUUUUCAGAGAGAACCUGCAGAAGUGAUCUCUAAGGAGAUGAUUGGGUUUUCAAGUUCAGCUAUGUCCACCCUAGAAGGAGCCGAGUUUUUCUUUCCUGGCUCCAAGGAAUCUGGUGUCAUACAUAUGGAUCUGGACCGCAGCUUCUUGCACGUACCUUCUGCAGUAAACGCCUCCAUUUUUGAAAGUUUUGUUCGUCAGAACAUCACUGAUUCUGAAACCGAUGUCCGUUCCAGCAUUCAGCAGCUGGUGAAAGAUAGCUAUGGCUUCUCAGCAGAUAGCUGUUCGGAAAUUAUAUACGGGAACACCUCUCUCGCGCUCUUCAACAAGCUUGUUCUUUGCUGCAUGCAAGAACAAGGCACCUUGCUUUUCCCCUUGGGCACCAACGGGCAUUACGUCAACGCGGCAAAGUUUGUGAACGCAGCCACCUUGACUAUUCCAACAAAGGCAGAUUCGGGCUUCAAGAUCGAACCAAGCGUUCUAGCCGCCGCACUAGAGAAGGUGUCUCAGCCGUGGGUCUAUAUUUCUGGCCCCACAAUCAACCCUACUGGCUUUCUGUACAGCGACGCUGAUAUAGCAGAGCUGCUUUCUGUCUGUGCGAAAUACGGAGCCAGGGUGGUGAUAGAUACCUCCUCCUCUGGUCUGGAGUUCCAAACCGCCGGCUGUAGCCAGUGGAAUUUGGAAAAAUGUCUUUCUACUGUGAAGUCUUCAAAUCCCUCGUUCUCCGUUGUCCUGCUCGGGGAGCUGUCCUUUGAGCUGACCACGGCUGGGCUUGACUUCGGGUUUCUGAUCAUGAGCGACUCGUCCUUGGUUGACACAUUUUACAGUUUCCCAAGCUUGAGUCGGCCACACAGCACGUUGAAGUACACGUUCAGGAAACUGUUGGGUCUUAAGAACCAGAAGGAUCAGCAUUUCUCUGACCUCGUCGCUGAGCAGAAGGAGACGCUGAAGAAUCGUGCCAACCAGUUGAUUAAGGUAUGCCUUUUGCGAUAUCCCGGGUUUAGGCUCUCCGUUUUCUUCCACUGACCAGCUCUCAGAUGAUCCCCUUAUAUCCUUGGUUUAAUUUGAGUACUUCGAGUUUGACACGCAUACCUGACACAUUCUUUCUUCUUGUUUUAUUUUCCUGUGAUGUGAUGAACAGACACUUGAGAGCUGUGGCUGGGAUGCCGCGGGCUGCCAUGGAGGCAUCUCGAUGCUGGCGAAGCCGACCGCCUAUAUUGGCAAGUCGCUCAAGGUUGACGGCUUCGAGGGCAAGCUCGAUAGCCAGAACAUCAGGGAAGCGCUCCUCAGGUCCACCGGGCUGUGCAUAAGCAGCAGCUCAUGGACCGGGGUGCCGGACUACUGCCGGUUCAGCUUUGCUCUGGAGAGCGGCGAGUUCGACCGGGCGACGGAGUGCAUCACCCGGUUCAGGGAGCUGGUCCUCGGUGGCAGUGCUAAGGUGAAUGGUAGCAACUAGGGCUGUUGGGUGGGUCAAGUGGGUGAAGAAACUGUAAAACCUGAAGGGAUGAGAUGAGAUGUAACCACUCUUAUCUGUCUUUACCUGUUUGAAAUACUUUGUUUCAAAUCGAAAUGGAAUAAAAGCACGUAAUCUCUGAUGUAAAUGCAUUUGGCAAUCGGCUUCUUGUGCUCUGAAGAAUGUACUGCAUGUUUACUUUUAAUCAGAAGAUGAUUUGUUUUGUACUCCUACCAUUUUCUUUCAGCGUAGUGGUGCUGGAUAUAAUUAACCAAAGAAAAAGGAAGACCUGCAGGUACAUCUUUUUACUUGUUAAUUUGAUGAAGAACAUAGCAAUAGUUUUUGAAAAACUCAAAACAAAUUCAGAGUAUGACCGUUUGUGUUUCUCUACUCCUAAUGGAGCAGUUGGUAGUCUCCGCCGGUUAAUUUUCGUCCCACCACUUUCGUCCGGUUUUUUUCGUAGGUUAACCUUCGUAGAUUUUUUCCGCACCACCGCUCCGGCUCAGGAAAACCCGUACGAUGGCCCUCCUCUCGAUCCCGAUGCAACCUCUCUCUUUCCCUCCUCUCCCGUGCCGCCGCCGACCUCUUCUUCGGGCGCGGCCGCAGGAGCAUCUCCACCUCUCCACUCCCUCACGCAACAACACUCCAAACCCCCACCCCCACGCCCGGCUGCCGCUAGGGUUUCUUACCCUCGCUGCCCCGCCGCGACUCGUGCUGCGAGCAGUGAGGAUGGGAGCGGGUCGGUCGUGUCGCUUAGUGGGUGGAUGGUUCCGUCGCCUCCCAUCCUUCGUGGCCUUUCUGUGUGGGCGCACUGCUGGAGGACAACGUUGAACAUGAAGCGGAGCCCAGCCGGAGCGGUCUGAUGUGGUGGUCGUGGCCAAGGAGCGGUGGUUGACGCCGUCGAGCAGGGGCCCUCGGUCGCCUGCGCAUGGGCCGCGUUCUGAACUAAUGCUUUCUGCAACUGCAAUGUUCCCCUCCACAUCGUAUCUUGUUCAGGCAGAAGGAAUGCAGUUCAGUGACGGCGUGGGCUGCAACUGGAUCAAUGGCCUGAAGGCUUAAUGAGAAGAUGAAGAAUGUUGUACAAUAGUGUCCAUCAACAAAGAGUCCUACUACUACCGGUUCGAGAGGCUCUACCCUCAGGUGAUUGAUUACUCAAGACUUCAGACAGAUACCAAGAAGUUUAACUGAUGGAUUCUGUAGCUCCUUUCCUUUGGAAGGAUUUACUGACGUGCUAGCUAGGAAAAUGUGAACUGAUGCAGGAUUCGGCAAGGAAGACCUGCAGUGGAGUCCGAGCAUCACGUGCAGCACGCAGGCGGCCUGAGAGGGCAGCAACUGCUUUCUUUUCUAUGAGAAGAUGAUCGAGGGGGCCGGCGGCCGUUUUGUCUCAUCCUCAAUGUGUCCAAGCUCGUCCCGCAUCGGUUGCAAUAUUUCUGACUCAUCGGUAAGUGUUCGACAAAUUGUCAGGUGCUGAUUUGAUUCCUUGUCCAAUUGCAAGUGGCCUGUAACACAGGGUUGAAUGCACAUUACCAUCACACUGCCAUGUAAUUUUUGUUGGUGCGCAAUCAAGUUGCUAUAAUUCUAUUUAUAGUUUAUUUGCCCAUUUUGUCUUUGUUGUCCAUGGUCAGAUCAUGGUUUUUAGGCUAUUGCAUCGUUAAGUGCGUUCAUUAGAUUAAAUUUUGGUAUUGCAUCGUUGAGCACUUCCUGUGAAUUACAUGAACCAGGUGUAUGUUCUCUAGCCUCUAUUGUGCAGUUUUCCUUUUUUCAGGCUGUCCAGAUGAGAACUGGGAAAUGGCAGUUUGGUUGAACUGAAUCAGCUCCAAGCUUUUAAAUUUGUGCAUAUCUUAAAAACACUGCAGUGCUACCUCCUUGUAGUAAUAAAUAAGUGUAGUAUGAAACUCAUAUAUGCUUAUUAUUCUACUCCCUCCGUUCGGAAUUACUUGUCUCGGAAAUGGAUGUAUCUAGAACUAAAAUACGUCUAGAUACAUCCAUUUCUGCGACAAGUAAUUCCGAACGGAGGGAGUAUUACUUAUGCACGUUCAAAUCAAUUCCACUGAUAAAUCAAACAGGGGCGGACCCACGUUCAUGGGAGUGGGUGUUGGGGAACGUAGCAGAAAUUCAAAAAAUUUCCUACGUAACACCAAGAUCUAUCUAUGGAGAGACCAGCAACGAGUAGAAAGGGGAGUGCAUCUACAUACCCUUGUAGAUCGCUAAGCGGAAGCGUUCAAGUGAACGGGGUUGAUGGAGUCGUACUCGUCGUGAUUCAAAUCACCGAUGAUCAAGUGCCGAACGGACGGCACCUCCGCGUUCAACACACGUACACCCCGGUGACGUCUCCCAUGCCUUGAUCCAGCAAGGAGAGAGGGAGAGGUUGAGGAAGACUCCAUCCAACAGCAGCACAACGGCGUGGUGAUGAUGGAGGAGCGUGGCAAUCUUGCAGGGCUUCGCCAAGCACUAUGGGAGAGGAGGAGGACUUGGGAGAGAGGGAGGGGCUGCACCAAAGGCAUAAGGUGUGUUUGGGAGGCCCUCCUACCCCACUAUAUAUAGGGAUCCCAAGGGGGGGGGUGCGCUAGCCCCUAGGAGAUCCAAUCUCCAAGGGGGCGGCGGCCAGGGGAGGAGUCCUCCCCCCCCCCCAAGGCACCUAGGAGGUGCCUUCCCCUGCUGGGACUCUUCCUUUAGGGUUUCCCCAGGCGCAUGGGCCUCUUGGGGCUGGUGCCCUUGGCCCAUGUAGGCCAAGGCGCACCCCCUACAGCCCAUGUGGCCCCCCGGGGCAGGUGGCCCCACCCGGUGGGCCCCCGGGACCCUUCCGGUGGUCCCGGUACAAUACCGAUGACCCCGAAACUUGUCCCAAUGGCCGAAACAUGACUUCCUAUAUAUAAAUCUUUACCUCCGGACCAUUCCGGAGCUCCUCGUGACGUCCGGGAUCUCAUCCGGGACUCCGAACAACAUUCGGUAACCACAUACAAGCUUCCUUUAUAACCCUAGCGUCAUCGAACCUUAAGUGUGUAGACCCUACGGGUUCGGGAGACAUGCAGACAUGACCGAGACGUUCUCCGGUCAAUAACCAACAGCGGGAUCUGGAUACCCAUGUUGGCUCCCACAUGUUCCACGAUGAUCUCAUCGGAUGAACCACGAUGUCAAGGACUCAAUCGAUCCCGUAUACAAUUCCCUUUGUCUAGCGGUAUUUUACUUGCCCGAGAUUCGAUCGUCGGUAUACCGAUACCUUGUUCAAUCUCGUUACCGGCAAGUCACUUUACUCGUUCCGUAACACAUCAUCCCGUGAUCAACUCCUUGGUCACAUUGCGCAUAUGAUGAUGUCCUACCGAGUGGGCCCAGAGAUACCUCUCCGUUUACACGGAGUGACAAAUCCCAGUCUCGAUUCAUGCCAACCUAACAGACACUUUCGGAGAUACCUGUAAUGCACCUUUAUAGCCACCCAGUUAUGUUGUGACGUUUGGUACACCCAAAGCAUUCCUACGGUAUCCGGGAGUUGCACAAUCUCAUGGUCUAAGGAAAAAGAUACUUGACAUUGGCAAAGCUCUAGCAAAUGAACUACACGAUCUUUUGUGCUAGUCUUAGGAUCGGGUCUUGUCCAUCACAUCAUUCUCCUAAUGAUGUGAUCCCGUUAUCAACAACAUCCAAUGUCCAUAGCCAGGAAACCAUGACUAUCUGUUGAUCACAACGAGCUAGUCAACUAGAGGCUCACUAGGGACAUAUUGUGGUCUAUGUAUUCACACGUGUAUUACGAUUUCCGGAUAAUACAGUUAUAGCAUGAAUAAAAGACAAUUAUCAUGAACAAGGAAAUAUAAUAACACUUUUAUUAUUGCCUCUAGGGCAUAUUUCCAACAGUCUCCCACUUGCACUAGAGUCAAUAAUCUAGUUCACAUCGCCAUGUGAUUAACACUCACAGGUCACAUCGCCAUGUGACUAAUACCCAAGAGUUUACUAGAGUCAGUAGUCUAGUUCACAUCAGUAUGUGAUUAACACUCAAUGAGUUUUAUGUUUGAUCAUGUUGCUUAUGAGAGAGGUUUUAGUCAACGGGUCUGAACCUUUCAGAUCCAUGUGUGCUUUACAAAUCUCUAUGUCAUCUCCUAGAUGCAGCUACCACGCUCUAUUUGGAGCUAUUCCAAAUAAUUGUUCUACUUGGAGCUAUUCUAAAUUGUUGCUCCAUUAUAUGUAUCCGGUCUCUCUACUCAGAGCUAUCCAGAUAGGUGUCAAGCUUGCAUCGACAUAACCCUUUACGACGAACUCUUUUACCACCUCCAUAAUCGAGAAAAUUCCUUAGUCCACUAGUUACUAAGGAUAACUUUGACCGCUGUCCUGUGAUCCAUUCAUGGAUCACUCUUGUACCCCUUGACUGACUCAUGGCAAGGCACACUUUCGGUGCGGUACACAGCAUAGCAUACUGAAGAGCCUACGUCUUAAGCAUAGGGGACGACCUUCGUCCUUUCUCUCUAUUCUGCCGUGGUCGAGCUUUAAGUCUUAACUUCGUACCUUACAACUCAGGCAAGAACUCCUUCUUUGACUGGUCCAUCUUGAACACCUUCAAGAUCAUGUCAAGGUAUGUGCUCAUUUGAAAGUAUUAUUAAGCAUUUUGAUCUAUCCUUAUAGAUCUUGAUGCUCAAUGUUCAAGUAGCUUAAUCCAGGCUUUCCAUUGAAAAACACUUUCAAAAUAACCCUAUAUGCUUUCCAGAAAUUCUACGUCAUUUCUGAUCAACAAUAUGUCAACAACAUAUACUCAUCAGAAAUUCUAUAGUGCUCCCACUCACUUCUUUGGAAAUACAAGUUUCUCAUAAACUUUGUACAAACCCAAAAUCUUUGAUCAUCUCAUCAAAGCAUACAUUCCAACUCCGAGAUGCUCACUCCAGUCCUUAGAAGGAUCGCUGGAGCUAGCAUACCUUUUAGCAUCCUUAGGAUCGACAAAAACUUUUUGAUUGUAUUACAUACAACCUUUCCUCACGAAAACUGGUAAGGAAACUCGUUUUGAUAUCCAUCUGCCAGAUUUCAUAAAUACAGCUAAUGCUAACAUGAAUCCGACGGACUUUAAGCAUCGCUACGGAUGAGAAAAUCUCAUCGUAGUCAACUCCUUGAACUUGUGAAAAACUUUUCGCCACAAGUCGAGCUUCAUGGACGGUGACAUUACCAUCCACGUCCGUCUUCUUCUUAAAGAUCCAUUUAUCUUAAUGGAUUGCCGAUCAUCGGGCAAGUCCAUCAAAGUCCAUGGAUCCGUUCUCGGAUUUUAUGGCCUCGAGCCAUUUAUCGGAAUCCGGGCCCACCAUCGCUUCUCCAUAGCUCGUAGGUUCAUUGUUGUCUAGCAACAUGACCUUCAAGACAGGAUCACCUUACCACUCCGAAGUAGUACGUGUCCUUGUCGUCCUACGAGGUUUGGUAGUGACUUGAUCCGAAGUUUCAUGAUCAAUAUCAUAAGCUUCCACUUCAAUUGGUGUAGGUGCCACAGGAAGAACUUCCUGUGCCCUGCCACACACUAGUUGAAGAGAUGGUUCAAUAACCUCAUCAAGUCUCCACCAUCCUCCCACUCAAUUCUUUCGAGAGAAACUUUUCCUCAAGAAAGGACCCGAUUCGAGAAACAAUCCAUAUUGCUUUCGGAUCUGAAUUGGGAGGUAUACCCAACUGUUUUGGGUUUCCUAUGAAGAUGCAUUUUAUCCGCUUUGGGUUCGAGCUUAUCAACCUGAAACUUUUUCAUAUAAGCGUCGCAGCCCCAAACUUUUAAGAAACGACAACUUAGGUUUCUCUAAACCAUAAUUCAUACGGUGUCAUCUCAUCAGAAUUACGUGGUGCCCUAUUUAAAGUGAAUGUGGUUGUCUCUAAUGCCUAACCCAUGAACGAUAGUGGUAAUUCGAUAAGAGACAUCAUGGUACGCACCAUAUCCAAUAGGGUGCAACUAUGAUGUUCGAACACACCAUCACACUAUGGUGUUCCAGGCGGUAUUAAUUAUGAAACAAUUUCCACAAUGUCUUAAUUGUGUGCCAAAACUCGUAACUCAGAUAUUCAUCUCUAUGAUCAUAUCAUAGACAUUUUAUCCUCUUGUCACAAUGAUCUUCUACUUCACUCUGAAAUUACUUGAACCAUUCAAUGAUUCAGACUUGUGUUUCAUCAAGUAAAUAUUCUCAACAUCUACUCGAAUCAUCUGUGAAGUAAGAACAUAACGAUAUUCACUGCAUGCCUCAGCACUCAUUGGACUGCACACAUCAAAAUGUGUUACUUCCUACAAGUUGCUAUCUUGUUCCAUCUUACUGAAAACGAGGCUUUUCAGUCAUCUUGCCCAUGUGGUAUGAUUUGCAUAUCUCAAGUGAUUCAAAAUCAAGUGAGUCCAAACGAUCCAUUUGCAUGGAGUUUCUUCAUGCAUAUAUACCAAUAGACAUGGUUCGCAUGUCUCAAACUUUUCAAAAAUGAGUGAGUCCAAAGAUCCAUCAACAUGGAGCUUCUUCAUGCGUUUUAUACCAUUAUGACUUACAUGGCAGCGCCACAAGUAAGUGGUACUAUCAUUACUAUCUUAUAUCUUUUGGCAUGAAAAUGUGUAUCACUACGACCGAGAUUCAAUAAACCAUUCAGGUUUAAUACUAAUCUUGAUGGUAGAGGGAGCGUGCGAUGUUUGAUCACAUCAAACUUGGAAACACUUCCAACACGUAUCGUCAGCUCACCUUUAGCUAGUCUCUGUUUUAUUCCGUAGCUUUUAUUUCGAGUUACUAACACUUAGCAACCGAACCGGUAUCUAAUACCCUGGUGCUACUAGGAGUACUAGUAAAGUACACAUUAACAUAAUGUAUAUCCAAUAUACUUCUAUCGACCUUGCCAGCCUUCUCAUCUACCAAGUAUCUAGGGUAGUUCUGCUCCAGUGGUUGUUCCCCUUAUUACAAAAGCACUUAGUCUCGGGUUUGGGUUCAAUCUUGGGUUUCUUCACUAGAGCAGCAGCUGAAUUGCCGUUUCAUGAAGUAUCCCUUUGUUCCCUAGCCCUUCUUGAAACUAGUGGUUUCACCAACCAUCAACAAUUGAUGCUCCUUCUUGAUUUCUACUUUCGCGAUGUCAAACAACGCGAAUACCUCAAGGAUCAUCAUCUCUAUCCUUGAUAUGUUAUAGUUCAUCACGAAGCUCUAGCAGCUUGGUGGUAAUGACUUCAGAGAAACUAUCACUAUUUCAUCUGGAAGAUCAACUCCCACUUGAUUCAAGUGAUUGUUGUACUCAGACAAUCUGAGCACAAGCUCAACGAUUGAGCUUUUCUCCCUUAGUUUGCAGGCUAAGAAAAUCGUCGGAGGUCUCAUACCUCUUGACGUGGGCACGAGCCUGAAAUCCCAAUUUCAGCCCUCGAAACAUCUCAUAUGUUCCGUGACGUUUCGAAAACGUCUUUAGUGCCUCAACUCUAAACCAUUUAACUGAACUAUCACGUAGUUAUCAAAACGUGUAUGUCCGAUGUUCACAACAUCCACAAACGACGUUUGGGGUUCAGCACACUGAGCGGUGCAUUAAGGACAUAAGCUUUCUACUGAUCGCAUAAUCGCUACUAUCAACUUUCAACUAUAUUUUCUCUAGGAACAUAUCUAAAACAGUAGAACUAAAGCGCGAGCUACGACAUAAUUUGCAAAAGGUCUUUUUGACUAUGUUCAAGAUAAUAAAGUUCAUCUUAUGAACUCCCACUUAGAUAGACAUCCCUCUGGUCAUCUAAGUGAUCACAUGAUCCGAGUCAACUAGGCCGUGUCCGAUCAUCACGUGAGACGGACUAGCCAACGUCGGUGAACAUCUUCAUGUUGAUCGUAUCUACUAUACGACUCAUGCUCGACCUUUCGGUCUCCGUGUUCCGAGGCCAUGUCUGCACAUGCUAGGCUCGUCAAGUUAACCCUAAGUGUUUUCGCUGUGUAAAACUGUCUUACACCCGUUGCAUGUGAACGUAAGAAUCCAUCACACCCGAUCAUCACGUGGUGCUUAGAAGCGACGAACUGUAGCAACGGUGCACAGUUAGGGGAGAACACUUCUUGAAUUUUGUAAGGGAUCAUCUUAUUUACUACCGUCGUUCUAAGUAAACAAGAUGCAUAAACAUGAUAAACAUCACAUGCAAUCAAAUAGAGUAGUGACAUGAUAUGGCCAAUAUCAUAUAGCUCCUUUGAUCUUCAUCUUCGGGGCUCCAUGAUCAUCUUGUCACCGGCAUGACACCAUGAUCUCCAUCAUCAUGAUCUCCAUCAUCGUGUCUCCAUGAAGUUGUCACGCCAACGACUACUUCUACUUCUAUGACUAACGCGUUUAGCAAUAAAGUAAAGUAGUUUACAUGGCGUUCUUCAAUGACACGCAGGUCAUACAAAAAAUAAAGACAACUCCUAUGGCUCCUGCCGGUUGUCAUACUCAUCGACAUGCAAGUCGUGAAUCCUAUUACAAGAACAUGAUCAAUCUCAUACAUCACAUAUCAUUCAUCACAUUCUUCUUGGCCAUAUCACAUCACAUAGCAAUACCCUGCAAAAACAAGUUAGACGUCCUCUAACUGUUGUUGCAUGUUUUACGUGGCUGCUAUGGGUUUCUAGCAAGAACGUUUCUUACCUACGCAAGACCACAACGUGAUAUGCCAAUUGCUAUUUACCCUUCAUAAGGACCCUUUUCAUCGAAUCUGUUCCGACUAAAGUGGGAGAGACUGGCACCCGCUAGCCACCUUAUGCACCAAGUGCAUGUCAAUCGGUGGAACCUGUCUCACGUAAGAGUACGUGUAAGGUCGGUCUGGGCCGCUUCAUCCCACAAUACCGUCGAAACAAGAUUGGACUAGUAACGGUAAGCAUAUUGAACAACAUCAACGCCCACAACUACUUUGUGUUCUACUCGUGCAAAGAAUCUACGCAAUAAACCUGGCUCUGAUACCACUGUUGGGGAACGUAGCAGAAAUUCAAAAAUUUUCCUACGUAACACCAAGAUCUAUCUAUGGAGAGACCAGCAACGAGUAGAAAGGGGAGUGCAUCUACAUACCCUUGUAGAUCGCUCAGCGGAAGCGUUCAAGUGAACGGGGUUGAUGGAGUCGUACUCGUCGUGAUUCAAAUCACCGAUGAUCAAGUGCCGAACGGACGGUACCUCCGCGUUCAACACACGUACACCCCGGUGACGUCUCCCACGCCUUGAUCCAGCAAGGAGAGAGGGAGAGGUUGAGGAAGACUCCAUCCAACAGCAGCACAACGGCGUGGUGAUGAUGGAGGAGCGUGGCAAUCUUGCAGGGCUUCGCCAAGCACUAUGGGAGAGGAGGAGGACUUGGGAGAGAGGGAGGGGCUGCACCAAAGGCAUAAGGUGUGUUUGGGAGGCCCUCCUACCCCACUAUAUAUAGGGAUCCCAAGGGGGGGGGUGCGCUAGCCCCUAGGAGAUCCAAUCUCCAAGGGGGCGGCGGCCAGGGGAGGAGUCCUCCCCCCCCAAGGCACCUAGGAGGUGCCUUCCCCUGCUGGGACUCUUCCUUUAGGGUUUCCCCAGGCGCAUGGGCCUCUUGGGGCUGGUGCCCUUGGCCCAUGUAGGCCAAGGCGCACCCCCUACAGCCCAUGUGGCCCCCCGGGGCAGGUGGCCCCACCCGGUGGGCCCCCGGGACCCUUCCGGUGGUCCCGGUACAAUACCGAUGACCCCGAAACUUGUCCCGAUGGCCGAAACAUGACUUCCUAUAUAUAAAUCUUUACCUCCGGACCAUUCCGGAGCUCCUCGUGACGUCCGGGAUCUCAUCCGGGACUCCGAACAACAUUCGGUAACCACAUACAAGCUUCCUUUAUAACCCUAGCGUCAUCGAACCUUAAGUGUGUAGACCCUACGGGUUCGGGAGACAUGCAGACAUGACCGAGACGUUCUCCGGUCAAUAACCAACAGCGGGAUCUGGAUACCCAUGUUGGCUCCCACAUGUUCCACGAUGAUCUCAUCGGAUGAACCACGAUGUCAAGGACUCAAUCGAUCCCGUAUACAAUUCCCUUUGUCUAGCGGUAUUUUACUUGCCCGAGAUUCGAUCGUCGGUAUACCGAUACCUUGUUCAAUCUCGUUACCGGCAAGUCACUUUACUCGUUCCGUAACACAUCAUCCCGUGAUCAACUCCUUGGUCACAUUGCGCAUAUGAUGAUGUCCUACCGAGUGGGCCCAGAGAUACCUCUCCGUUUACACGGAGUGACAAAUCCCAGUCUCGAUUCGUGCCAACCUAACAGACACUUUCGGAGAUACCUGUAAUGCACCUUUAUAGCCACCCAGUUAUGUUGUGACGUUUGGUACACCCAAAGCAUUCCUACGGUAUCCGGGAGUUGCACAAUCUCAUGGUCUAAGGAAAAAGAUACUUGACAUUGGCAAAGCUCUAGCAAAUGAACUACACGAUCUUUUGUGCUAGUCUUAGGAUCGGGUCUUGUCCAUCACAUCAUUCUCCUAAUGAUGUGAUCCCGUUAUCAACGACAUCCAAUGUCCAUAGCCAGGAAACCAUGACUAUCUGUUGAUCACAACGAGCUAGUCAACUAGAGGCUCACUAGGGACAUAUUGUGGUCUAUGUAUUCACACGUGUAUUACGAUUUCCGGAUAAUACAGUUAUAGCAUGAAUAAAAGACAAUUAUCAUGAACAAGGAAAUAUAAUAACACUUUUAUUAUUGCCUCUAGGGCAUAUUUCCAACAGUGGGGGCCUAGGACCCCACUCAAAAUAUGAAACUUCAGUGAUAUUUCUUUGAAAUUUCAGAAAUUUUUGCCAAAACUAUGUGAAUUUGUACAAAGUAUGCCCCCACUCCCAUAGUUUGCCCCCACUUAGAAUAGUUUCUGGGUCCGCCCCUAAAAUCAAAUAUGCUUUUUUAGAACGGAUGGUCCACUGUAAAAGAAGCACAAGCAUCAUGUGGCAUUGUAGUCAUUGGUGAAGAUUGAUAUGCACUCAAAUGCAAGACUUAUGAUGGUGUUUGGUGACCGAUAAAGAUGAUUGGAAAGCCUCUUUCCAAGCAUAAGGUGAAGCUUGUAUAUUUCACUUUUCUGAAAACUAUAUCGCCAUUUAUUUAGCCAGUACAAUGUUUAUUUUCUGAAAACUAUAUUGCCGUUGUAGGUUAUCUGAUUAAAAUUACAUCCCCUGCUUGUGUUUUAUGAGUUGAUUUCUACCAUCUACUGUAACGGCUGUGCAAUAACCUUUUCAAAGUGAGAUGUUUUUCUGUCAUGAAUGUGAACUUGAAUUGCUAACACGCUGGUACUUUUAUCUGAUGAGCAUUUGACAUGAUUUUGUAGUUUGUGAGGGUGGAAGCCAAAGGAAGAACAACAUACAGUGAGGUGUUCUCCAAUGUUCAAACGAAUGUAUCCUUCAUUAAUUGGCCAUGAUAAAUCAUCCCCGAAUGCCACGUUUAAAUAUCAAUGGAGUUUGCUAUAAUUUUGGAUGGCUUUAUCUAAACUGUAACUAUGCAGUCUGCUUAAGAAGCACAAAUUAAAGAGUAUCCUGAAUGCCACUGCAAAAUAAUUAUCCUGUGGAGGUGAUGCUGAAAGGCAUAAAAUUCAAUACUUCUAUUACAUUGUUGCCAUGCCAUUUUUUUGCUGAUACAUAACACGUCUUUCAAAUAUAUAUGCUUGGGAACUGAUUUAUUUUCUUCCCUCUUGAUUCAUCAACUACCUCAACCAGCUACUGUCUAUUACAGGUUGCAGAUGAGAUUUAUUCAGAGCUGAAGUCCAUGGCACAUAUUGGUCCAGGGGUUUUUAUAAUAUGUACUUCUCUGUUCCCUUUCCACUUCUACGAAUUAAGAAGCAUUGCUCCCAAUUCCAUUUAGCACGGAACUGAUACAAAGAGUGCCGGCCCGCCAAAUGUCAUGGUUCCAGAAAGCUUAUUACAAACAUCCACAUGUUAUAGAACCUCUAACCAGCACCGUCACCUUACUUUCUUUGCAACUACGACAAUAGAACACACCAACCUCGCAGUGACCGGAUCCGCCAUGCCAUGUCCAUCCAACGUCGCUCUGCUUCGUGCUUCUCCCGAGCGCCCUGCUCUCCACCAACCUCCCACCCAGGCCUCUCCGUGUCAUCGCCAGCCACCCUCCCUGUGCAGCGUCGACCUGCUGGUCGCGGUGCUGCUCUGCAUCCUUGAUGCUGGCGCAUCUGGAUCCUCCGGGGAGGCCCCGCUCUGCAUCUGCUCCUCCUCCGUUCGUACCACCCUUCCUGCUGAUCAAAAGUCUCGUCUGGCUACUGCAGCACUCCACUUCCUCCUCCCCGAUGUCUGGUUGUUGUUGUGCGAUCAAAAGUCUCGCCUGGCUACUGCAGCAUCUUGAUGUCUGCUGGCUUUGCUUUGCUGGCAGGAAUCACCUAAAUCUGGCGGCUGCUCUGCGUUCGUCAUGUGUGUGUGGGGGGGGGUGUGGCCGGGGAUUGGGAGAAAUCCAUGAUUGGAUAGAUGCUGCUGGCCAAGACAACGAUGAUGCUUCACACCAUUUCCAUCUAAAUGGCAAUGUUUGAUCAUCGGCCUGACGGUGGCUAUAGGUGAACUCUGGGGGAAAUCCAUGAUCGUAUCUUCUAUUUGAUCGACCACGGCGUCGCUCCCCUGCGCCGUAAACCUCCCUGGAGGCGUGGUCUGGAGUGCACCUAUCUUGUCUUGCCUCCGCUUCUUCGAUGAUGACCGCUCCACCAACCCCCCCUUCGUUGCCUUCACUUUUCGUCGCUUCUCGUGAGGCUUGCUCAAGACCCUCUCAGGGCUGCCAAUAUGUUGCGGCGAGCUUCGUGCUCUCGGUUCAUCUUAGCUCAAUGAUUGAGCAAGAUGCCUCACAAAGUUGGUUGUCGUUAUGAUUUUUGAUGGCGGAGAUCCUUGUGAAGAUUCGUGUUUGUUAUGACAUUCAUUGAUUUUGAGUAGAGAUAUUCAGGUGAGGAAACUCCCCCCGUUGAUUCUCAAAAGAAUAUUAUCUUUGUUGUUUGAUGAGAAGAAUAUUAGGCGGGGAGUGUAUGAUGCUUUCAACGUUCUCAUUGCACUUCCUAUUACUGCAAAAUAGAAAAAGGAGAUACGGUGGAUGGGACUUUCAAGUUACAAUUAUGAUUAUGAGUUGACUUCUACCAUCUUGUUCUUUGAAGGAAUUUCGGAGAGGACUCGUCAACAAGAUUAGGAGCAAGUUGCUUACACUAUGCAGCAACUUGUCUUUGGUUUUGUUGUCUCUUACUAUUAUAUAUAUACUGGUGUAUUUGAUAUCUCCUUCAGUUACAACUGUUAGAGAAUGUUAAUGGCAUCCGCCUUCCUUUCAUAUUGGUCAAGGUAUUUUUCUUCUUGCGCUAGAACCGUCGGAUAUGCUUAACCCAGUCAGUUGCGACUAAGCUGUAACAUAACUAUAUUUAGAUCGCCCUUGUACUGAACUUGUAGUCUGGCAUUCCCAUGUUUAUAACUGCUGACCUAACGUAGCAACAUAGAUUACAACAACCAGUAGUGAAUAGUGGCUACUUCAAAAUGUAUGGUAUUCCUACGCGGUGCUAGGAAUGCCUUUCCCCUUAGAUAUGUAGUUGCAUAAAACACUGGUAUAUAGAAAGAUCAUGAGCAAAAAAAUACAUGCAAGUGUAUAUAAUAUCAUUUUUCUUUGAGCAGAUAUCUAGGAAAGCAAGGGUGGAAAUUGUGAUUUCAGAAGACUCGAAGUUUUCAAUGGGCAUGCAUCUUUUUUUUAUAUACUUCUCACACAAAAGGCUUAUCAAGUAUAUUGAGACGAUGUAACCAGACUAUAUUUGCAAAGUAAGGAUUAGAAGUUCAUGCUCCUAACCAGAUAUCCACAAAUCUUGUUUCAGUGCACCAUUUACGUUGCAUGAUGAUCUCUCAAUCCUUGUGUAUAUUGAGUAAUUUGGCAAAGAUGCAGUUUACUGAACUCUUAUGUAUAUUGAAGUCGGUUUUAGUUCCAAUUUGGAAUAUACUAUCAUGCAUAUAAGCAUGUUAAUCGAAGCCUGAUUGGUUCGAUUGAUUUGCUAUAGAACUUUUUAUUAGACAUGAAGGUGUCUGCCCCUUUUUUGUUCAAAAAAGAGGGUAUACCUACUUUGAAGAAAAAUUGCUUGAUAUGUUUUCGAGUUGAGCGAGAAAACACUUGCUAAUCUCUUAUUCAUAUACUCUUUUUGUGUAGCUUAGUUGUCCAUCUAGGGGUAUUGGUGGUCAUGCCGGAAGCCCGGAACAUAUGCGGAAUGAGGCAUCCAUGGUCAAGCUUCGAUAGACUUGCUAAAGUUAAAGAAGCUCAUGAUGAACUUUAGCAGACAAUGUCUUUGAUGUUCAAGACAGAACUUUGUAAAUGAGUACAAUGUCGCGAGAUCCAAAUCUGUAAAUGAUGUUGAAGAGAGCUUUAAAUGUCUCUGCAACAACGGACCUGCAGCCUGUAGGUAAUUGGUCUUGUGUCUUCCAGCUGCAAUAGAAAAAGUCUAAGUGAUCAAGGUCCUACUGUUCAAUUAAGCUGGCCGUUUGCUUUCUUCUUGUGCCUACAACAUGCUCGCUGAAUUAUUUUGUCGUAGUAUGAAAGCUUGUAAGCGCCAGAUUGAGGCCCUACUAAUAAAUUAAGGUGUCUGCUUGCUUGCUUGCUUUUUUUUCUCAGUAUCGCAUGCUUUACUGUGAAUUAAAAGGAAUUGAGUUCCUCUGAGCGCAAUUUAUUUAUUGGUGAACAGAAGGCCAUGUAAAGGAUUAAUGGCAAUGGAGCCUAAUAGAACAUAUACAUGGCGUCUUUAGAGUAGCAGGGGAUGGAAUCUUUUCUAUUUUCAUGGUGAAGCCUGGUUUUAACUGCUAAAGAGUAGCAGGGGAUGGAAUCGUUGAAAUAUAAUCAGUUCUUAAGUAAAUGAACUGAGACUUGAUGGUUGUGUGUUAAUUGGUACAAUAUGUAUUUUGGGCCUGAAUUGUGAAGCAAACUGAGAAGUCCUGGUUGCUUGUUAUUAGUUUAGUAUACCUUUUUUGGGCCUGAAUUCUGAACCUUGCUGAUUUUUUUGGUUGUGUGUUAUCAGUGUAGUAUGCAUUUUUGGCCUGAAUCCUUAACCUUAUCUAGGUAUUGAUUUUCUGCAAUUAGCGAUGCACUCAUGGUCAUGCGUAUUUGUUAGUCUACAUUACUUAUAGAUUUAGUUGUUUUGAUAUGUAUCCACUCGUCGGUUAGUUAACUGAAAUUUGUUGGCAGUGGUUCUUUAUUUUCUUUAACUGUUAUAUAGAAUCAGCGGACUGAAACAUCUAAAAACAAUCAGCUCUUUAUGAAUUAACUAAGACUUGAUGGUUGUGUUAUUAUUAUAGUAUAUACAUUUUUGAGCCUGAAUUACAAAUCUGAUUCAAAUAUCCUUGUUUUGUGUUGUUAUUAUGGUACACUGUUAUCGAGCUUUGUUAAUGAUUUUUUCCAGUCCUUCCUGAACUUUUGAUACUCUCUGCAUGUUUUUGCAUGUUAGUUAAGUACCAGGGCAACCACAGAUGAUGUUCCUUCCUUUUAUUGAGUUGCCUUACUGUUAUGACGUCCAACUUUUUGUUAAUAUACACACUCGACAACUUACUGUUAUAACGGCCAACUUUUUUUUAAUAUACACACUUGAUUCUGGAACCCAUGAACUCUUUGUCUCUCCCAGAGGACAUGUUUCACAUCUACUCAUGUUUGUAAAAAAACAUUAUAGUCUAUUAUGUACUGUAUAGGCAAAAAAUACAUAAUUGCUUCUCUUCUAUGUGCUUUCCUGAAUGAAUACACUUGGUUCACAAAAGCCUUAGCAUAAUUAGUUGAACAAGUUUUUCCUAUUUUUAUUUCUUGCAUCUCCCGUGGUAAGUUUUAUUUCCUGGUACUUGUAAAAUUGUUCAGAUUACUUAGCUUUGUUCAACCGCCAUGUUGACUAAAUCUACUGUGCCUAUAAAUAUAUGUGCUUGCCCGUGCGCUUGCCCGUGCCCAUGUCAGUUAUGUUGUUAUUCUUUCUUGAAUUUGUAGGUUGAAACCAAGAGGGCAUUGUAAACUUUGAUGACACUUUGUGGGAAACCAAUUACUUCAUGGCCAGAGGUGGUUUUGGAAUGGAGAUUCCAGUUGAGAAGAUAUUCCUUGCACAGAAAAUGAUGAUCUACAAGUGCAACCUUGCUGGUUCACAGCGAUUGUAGGCACCAUCCAUUCCAAUUGUCCAUUUGUAUAACUUCAGUAUUUUUAUGUACAACUUAUAGGCCGGACUGAUUUUUUUUACUUGCCCUGAUGAAGCUGUAGACUACACAUAUGUUGCUAAUUUUGCAAGCUAUACUUGUGUAAAUGUUGUUCCACCUUUCCACUUUGUAAUUUCAUUGUCAUUUCAGAUGAUCUAGACAUUUAAUGUAUGGAAUUUAUGUUGGCACUAAAUAAGGAAUAUUGGAAGAUAAUAUGCCACAGUAUCUAUUAUGAGGUAAAAAUAAUCAUUUUCUCACUUUAAUAUUUUAGUCAUGACUUGUAUUUUUAUUUACUAACCUCUCUUCAUAAUUAUUUUUGAAUUAAAUUUAGAUUUUUAGAAAGUUGUAAAGAAUAGUUCUAAUUUUUGUGGGUAGAAAAUCAAAUUAUGGUUCUUGCUUGAAGCCCUCUUGAUGAACGACACCCCAUGCAAUAGCGACAGUGACCACAUGGAAGAGAUCAAGAACAUCAGCAACAUCUUGCGGUGUUCCUCCUCAUCGUUGUUGUCACCACCGAAUAAUGACAUCCAGGUCAUGAGACCGCUGCUAGAGCGUUGGAGCCUUCUUGAGAAGGCAACACACCUAUGAUCGAGAGAGAUCGGGAGAGAGUGAGCGAGAGAGAGGGGGGAGAUCGAGGGAUGGAGGGAAGGGGGAAUUGGGAAAGAGAUCUUGCACCUACACAUUGGUAGGAAAAACAUGUUUUGAAAUAUAUAUGAGAUUUGAUGGUAAGUCAUCAUUGUGUUUGUUCCCUAUACCGUAACCUUAAUGUCGAAUGUGUUGUAGAAUUUUUUUUGAUAAAUAUAUUUUAACCAGUGAUAUUUUAGUAUGAUUGUAAAUUUAUCCAUCCACAUAUCACCUCAAGAAACAUUUUUAGUGGAUGGAAGGAAGAAAGAAAAAAAGAAGUCGCCGAUGCAGCCCGUUGCAACGCACGGGCGUUCUACUAGUCAGAGUUAAAAAAGGACUAUUGUGUCCCAUUUUGAUUUUUGAUUUAAUGAAUUGGGAAACAUGACAUUUUUGUUUGAAAUGAAGAAAAAAGAACAGUAAAAGUUUUUGAAGUUAUAAUCCAUUGAGUUUUGAAGGGAUACAAACCUGCGGCACAAUGUGACGCGGGUUGAAUUUGUCAUUAUGUUGUUUACAUGAUAAGACUUUAGCCUUUAUGUCCAUAACUCUUCACUAACUUUUUCCAAAUGGAAUGAAAUGAACCCAACUAUGAUGGAGCUGAGCUCAUCAGAGAAAGUGUUGUUUAGCUGAAAGUGACAUUCUGCUCCCAGGUUCCAUAAUGCUCAUGCAAUUGGUACUCUUUUAUCACAUACCGAAGGAAGUUUUAGUGCAUUAUUUUGUAAUGCUUAGUUAAGUCAACAACUGUCUUCAUUGCUAUUCUCUAGAAGUGUUAGGAUAGAGCGGCAACGGGACAUUUUCUAUGUACAUCAAGUUCCUAAGCCCGCGAGUCCGCUCAAUGUUACGUGGCCCAACAAGCAAAAGUUCAUACUACUUUGGACUUUAUAUAGUUAUUCGGAUAAAUUUGGCUCUGCCCCAUCUCUACUUUAUGUGUGUAACUAUUUUAUUUCUUUAUUUUCUCAAUAGAAUGUAAUACAAAAAAUAAAUAAGAAGCCAUGUUUGGCAAACCUAAAAUACUUCCUCCAUUCCUAAAUAUAAGACCUUUUAGAGGUUUCAAUAUGGACUAUAUACGAAGGAAAAUGAAUGAAUCUACACUCUAAAAUAUGUUUAUAUACAUCAGUAUGUAGUCUGUAUCAAAAUCUUUAAAAGAUCUUAUAUUUAAAAAUGGAGGGAGUAUCUACAAUUAAGUGAUAAACGACCAGUUAUCUCGACUUAGGAUAUACAUAGGAAAAUCCGAGGGCCAAANNNNNNNNNNNNNNNNNNNNNNNNNNNNNNNNNNNNNNNNNNNNNNNNNNNNNNNNNNNNNNNNNNNNNNNNNNNNNNNNNNNNNNNNNNNNNNNNNNNNNNNNNNNNNNNNNNNNNNNNNNNNNNNNNNNNNNNNNNNNNNNNNNNNNNNNNNNNNNNNNNNNNNNNNNNNNNNNNNNNNNNNNNNNNNNNNNNNNNNNNNUUCACUCUCUUUAUUUUGAUUGAAGUUCUUAUAUUAGUUGUCAAAAGCGUGACAUCUAGGCUCGGGCUUAACAUUUCCACCUAGAAGCCCGGCCCCAAACCCCCCAAAAGGUCAAAAUGAUUAAAAAAUAUUUUAACUAGCAAAUAUGUAGAAAUAUGUUAUUUUUAUAACCCUAAAAUAAUUAUUUUAAUUGAUAAAUUUUUUUUGAGACACUCUCGCUAAGCUUUAUUUGUACUUCCAGAAUGUUUACAUGUAUGAAGUGGAGUUCUUCCUGUUGAAGCAUGCUUAGCAAGACCGUGAGAAUCGAAAUUUAAGCUCAUUUAUUUUAGAAGACGAAAUUGGAGCUCCUAAACUCGUGAACUUGCUCAUCUGUUUUGGGCCAGCUGGGCCGGGCUUGGGAUUUCAGCUUCGUGCUUUGCCAAGGCCCAAAGGCCGGCCCAAUUGGGCAUAUGAUCAGGUCUAGUUUUUUCCUUUUUACAUCAAUUAGGUCAGGUCUAGUUCCUUGUUCCCUCUUGUCUCAAAAAAAAAGUUCCUUGUUCCCUCAAAAAAAAGUGGGGGGGGGGGGUCUAGUUCCUUGUGGCAAGGGGUUGACUUGUUUGACCGUUUGGAUCAGGAAAAACAAACAAUAUAUUCUCUCUUUUUUCUGUAAGAAAAAGAAAAGAAAUUCCUCCUCUUGUCUUCGCUUGGGGCCUUCGAUCUUCUUGCGCUGCGCAAUCCCAACCAAGCAGAGAGAGAGAGGGAGGUUUCCCAUGGCGGCGGCGGCGGAGGACGGCGGCGGCGUGGCCCGGCAGGCGGAGCUCCGGCGCGCCGAGGGCAACGCGUGCUUCCGGAAGGCCCGCCUCGGCGCCGCCAUCGACUGCUACACCGAGGCAACUCCUUUCUUCCCCAAUCCCCUUCUUCCCCCAAUCCCUCGAACCCCCAAGAACGGAUUGACUGAUUGAUUGAUUGGUUGGUUGGUUGGUUUCCAGGCGAUUGCGCUCUGCCCCGGCGUCGCCGUCUACUGGGUCAACCGGGGCCUCUGCCACUUCAGGCGCAAGGACUGGGCCAGGGUCGAGGAGGACAGCAUGAGGGCGCUCGCGCUCGACGACACCUCCGUCAAGGUGACUGACGCAGAUUAUUAUUCCCCACUUUUCAGUCGACGCCAGUUUCGCCAUCAUGAACUUGAACCGGGAAGAGGCAUAGAUUUGUAAAAUGUUCUUGCUUGAUUGAUGCAGGGGCACUAUCUGCUAGGGUGCGCGCUGCUCGAGAAGGAGGACUGCGCUCUCGCGGUCAAGGAAUUCGAGAAGGUCCGCCGUUUGCGAAUCCUCUGUACAUUCCGAACCAGGCUCUGUAUUAUGCUAAGAUCGUCACGUUUGUGCCAUUAUUUACAAUAUAAGAAUUGGUAGAUUGUAAGCACCGGUCUGAUUGACGAUUAACUUCAAGAUGGUCUAGAAUAUCUCUGAAUCCAACCGGUUAUCUCACAUGCGUCUAAAGCAUGCUUCCUGAUUACCCUUGUUUUUGAAACAAGGACCUGAUUGCCCUUGUAGCUUACCUGUCUUCUUCACAUGUAUGUAUUAUGUAACCCAUUAUUGGCUUCCUGUCUCCUUGAGAAAUAUGGUGGUGUCAAUACGUACUACCUUGGUGUCUUUCACCAAGCUCUUCUGAUUACCUAGGGGUUUAAAUCACAAUUGUAGCUACAGUUAAUUAGUGAACUCAGCUGAUUGUCUGACUUUGAUGCUUAUUUUCACUCGGCAUAUUGAUGGGGAACAGGCUUUGGAUCUCUUGAAGCCUUCAAAUUCAAGGGACAAAAUGGCAGAGGACAUUUGGCAGGUUCUUGCCAAGGCCAAGUACCUUGCCUGGGAAAAGCACUCCACUCAGCGAGUUUGGAAGAUGCAAAGUUUAAGGUACGUUGUAUAUUGAAAUUGCCAUGAGAUGAUUGGUGUCACUGUGCUGAAGAUCAAGCAAAGUGUGUGUAUUUGGUGUUGAGGGUCAAUUCGGCAAAACUUUAACACUUACUGUGAUGCCUUGCAUCCAAGACACUGAUUUUUAUAACACUGCUGUAACAUGAACAUGUAGGGAAGCUUGUGAAAAUGCUCUGCAGGAGCAUCACUUUCUUAGCGGCACUCUUUCAGAAGACUCUGAGGGGACAACCAAUGAGUAUUCAGAGCAAUGCAAAUUGUUAUCUGAAGUCUUCACGAACGCUAUACUUGCUGAUACACCAGGAGAUGUAAAUGCACUAUUUUUAAUGAUACCUUGUAACCAAUCUUUUUUUCUUGUUCAGUCUUAUUUUCUCCUCUCUGCCUUCUUAAGUUGUUCCCACUCUGAAUACCUAGGUGCCGGACUACAUUUGCUGUCAAAUAACUUUUGAGAUUUUUAGAGAUCCAGUUAUCACACCCAGUGGUGUAACAUAUGAGAGGGCCAUACUGCUUGAGCAUCUUCGCAAGGUGCGCCUUCUUCCUAAUUUCGCAUCUGUUUAUAGAGAACUCCUGACUUUAUUCAUCUUAUUUACUGUUGUUUCCUAGGAUCUUCAACUGAAAUUCAUUCUAGAGAAUAUAUUCACAUAAAUAUCGGUUGUCUAAUUUUAUGGUACUAUAGAUUCAGUCAACUCUAUAAAUACUGCAUAGGGGAAAUAACUGAUUAGCGAAAACAACACGCAAACUUGGUCUUGACAGGUGUGAGUGCUAAUGGGCAAAUUUAAACAUCUCCUUAUGUACAGUCCAGUUUGCACAGCAGAGCAGCAAUUUUACUUUGAAUGACAAUAUUGUAAAGCUUAUAAUAAUUUUUUCCUUUAGGUGGGCAAUUUCGAUCCGGUGACGCGGGAGCCCUUGAAGGAGCACCAGUUGGUUCCGAAUCUUGCCAUCAAGGAAGCCGUCCAAGCAUACCUCAAGGAGCACACCUGGGCCUACAAGUCGAACUGAAGCUGUCCUGUUACCGCUUAGGUGCUAACAAAAUGUGUUGAUAUAGUGUNNNNNNNNNNNNNNNNNNNNNNNNNNNNNNNNNNNNNNNNNNNNNNNNNNNNNNNNNNNNNNNNNNNNNNNNNNNNNNNNNNNNNNNNNNNNNNNNNNNNNNNNNNNNNNNNNNNNNNNNNNNNNNNNNNNNNNNNNNNNNNNNNNNNNNNNNNNNNNNNNNNNNNNNNNNNNNNNNNNNNNNNNNNNNNNNNAUUCUGGGUUGAUUGAUUCUUGAGUGAAUCCUAACAAACACUUGGCAAUUGGCCAUUGUACAUAAUCAGCCUACAUAAUUCUCUGUAGCAGUUGGCUGUACGAAAGUGGUUUGUUUGAUCCUGUAGAUUGAUCAUUUCUUUAUGCUAGUCCAGUAAUAACAUGAUUUUACGCCAUUUCCUUCCUUGCCAUUUCUGCUUGGAUUAAAUGGUCUGUUUGGAAGACAAGCAUUGGGAGAAUCAAUGCUAUGAUAUUUCAUUGCUUGAUGUUGUUGAUGCCAUGAUAGAUGUUCACUUGCUUACAUGCGUAUUAUGAUUCUCCUUUCUGCUUAUAUGUCACAUAUCAUGAUAGUACGGUGUGAUAAUACCUUAUUUGAUAUUUAUGUUAGUUGUUAUCUAGCAACUUAUGUUGUAGUUAUAAUUUGAAUUGUAUUGGAACCAUUUGCACGUAGCUCGUGUCAUGAUCAUCCCUAUGCUUAGCAUUAUAUCUUAUUUAUCUUACUCUUUGAUUUGUGGUAUGCCUAACCUAUACAUGUUGUCAUGAUAGUGAUCUUUCAUGUCUUAUUGUGCUCCGUAUGUUAGUUGAGUUGUAUCUUUCUCAUAUGCUUAGUGUACAUAGUUUUAUCUCUUAUUUAAGCAUGCGCCUAUAAUAUUAUUACUAGUGGUUAUUUGGGCAUUAGUUGUUCUUUAUUAUUACGAGCAUAUUCUAGUUUAGUAUCUUAUCAUGUUCACCCGUAUGUGUGAUGCUUGUGUUAUUCAUUUAGACAUCUAGUGAUUCUAUACUCAUAUGCCUUGUGUGAGAUGUGUGUUAUUAUUAAGUUGUUUAAUUAGUUUCUACCUUAGUAUUGGUUUGUCUUCUUUUAUAGAAAUGCUUGCUAAUAAUUGUUAAGAUUGAUGUUUAGUCUUUGCUUGUGGCUAACCAUUAUAAGUAUGUGGAUUAAUCCAAAUAUUUAUUAUUGGUUGAUUGUUACUCUUAAUCACAUCAUGCCUAGGAUAGCUGUUCAUCCAUUUGUUCCAUGUGUUGUAUAGUUUCUUGUUAAUUGUUUGACAAAUGAAUUGGUUUGUUAUAAUAGAGUUGAUCCUAUUUUGUUUUAAUAAUAUUUUAGCGCUAGACCUAGAUCAUUUCACAUGUUGUUGAAUGAUGUUUGGUUGUUUAACUAGUAUGUUUUAUAAUGUUGCUUUCAUUGUCAUAUAGAACACUUGUUUGGAGUUAUUAUAGAGUUAAUGUAUAUGUUUGGAUUCUAUUGCCAUUAUAAAUAUUUAGAUUCCAUCAAAUAUUUAUUUGUGGUUACCUUUUACCCUUAUCAUGUCAUGUUGUGAUUGUGUUGUUAAAAUGCAUACGUUGGUUCCAUUCCAUGUGUGUUGAUGUCAUUGUGUUUGUUAUAUGGUAGUUUCCUAUUUAGUUGAGAUGUGUAGUGGGCACUACUAGUGGUUAGUACCAUAGUUCGUAUUGGAACGUUAGUCUUGAUCAAACAACCUUCCUUAACCGUGUCAACUUAAAUCCCAUCACUUCAUUGAAUCCUAUCUCUUACCUUCCAAUCAUGCUAUCUCCUUUCAGAGUCUCCAUCUUGAUCAAUAUCUUGCUAUCCAUCCACUCUUGAAUUGUUUGCAUGUCAUUUGGAUUUGCUAUUGCUUUGGUAUUUAUUGUUUGUCGUUUGCUAUCGUUACGACGAGUAGGGAUUGACGAUGUUGGACAAGGACUGAACAUGUUACUCAGGAAGGACUCGACAACGAAGGCAUGCCUCCUUCUUUGAUCAUACUUAUCCUAUGUUUUACAAAAUUGCAUUGUGUUUAAUGGUUACUACAUGCAUGCUAUUUUAAUUCUUGUAGCUAGCGUGUUGAUUGACACAUUACCUUGAUCUGCUUAUCGCCUAUUCACUUGACACCUGAGUAGAAUUAUACUAUUAUGGUAGAGUAGAAAUGCAGAAUUCACAUAUAUGAUGCGUGGCUAAACAAAGUGGAAUUGCAUAAUUCAUAUAUAUAGAAACUAAACAUAUAGCAAAUGCAAGACGCCAUAGCAAAUGCAAGACGCCAUAUAGAAACUAAACAUAUAGAAACUAAAAUAUAGAAAUUAAACAUAUGGCAUUCACAUAAAGCAUAUCUAAACUAAGCAGAUAACAUAUUUGAUGUAUAAAGUAAGCAAUGCAAGACGCCAUAUGCAUGAUAUGACAAACAUCAGCAUGUCGAGUUAGAGCAAAGACCUCAAGAGGUAAAUAGGAGUGGUCUGCUCCCUCUGUAUCCCCCUCUGAACAGUUAUCUUUCUCUUGAUUACUAUCUGGAAUGGGGGAGGGGGCUGCCCUUGCGCCCACCAUGGAGCGACGUCUGCAUGACAUUUUAUUGCCAUGCAAGGGGCGUCUCCUUUUAUCUACAUGUUCAAUACUAUUGUAUAUAAUAACUGACAUGCAUAGGAAUAAAACAUAGUGCGAUUGUGUAAGGAAUGUUUAACAAAAAAAAGUCAUCGAAACAUAUCGAUAUAAGAACUAGUUUUGAAGAUCUCGUCACGAUGGAUUUAGUGGUGAAUACGGAUUUUCAUUCGGAUUUUUCAUUUAAGAGAUAAAACAGUUUAAAAACUGGAAAUUCAAAAAGAUUCUCACAUGCAUGCAUACGGUGACAUGGCAAUUUGUUUUGCUAUAGAGACGUGUGGUGCGCCUCCCUCCCUGCCACACGUGUGGCAGAUAUCAUCAUCCUUUAUAAAAUGAGUAAUUUGAUGAAGGUUCAUGAAUUUUUAAAAACAUCACAAAUUUGAAAAAAGUUUGCAAAUAUGAAAAGAGUUCACCAAUUUUUAAAAUAAGUUCACAAAUUUCGCAAAAUUUUAAAAUUUUGAAAAUUCAUGACAUUUGAAAAAGAAUAUGAAAAUUUCAAUUUUCAUAGAUUUAAAAAAAAUCAUGGAUUUUAAAUAAUUUCAAUGAUAUUUUUAAAAAUGUUCAUGGAUUUCAAAAGGUUCACAGUUUUUAGAAAAAUGUAUAAGUUGAGACAAGUUCAUGGAUUGGGAAAACGUUCAUGUGUUUGAAAAAAAGUUUAUGGAUUUUAAAAUCACGAAUUUAAGAAAUUAUACACGGAUUUGAAAUGAAGUUCAUGAAUUUAAGGAAAGUCCAUAAUUUUAGGAGAAAAAUGUCAAUUUAAAAACAGAAAAGAAAAUGAAACAAAGAAGGAGAAAGAGAAAACAAGCAGUAGAAAAACUGCCAGACAAAACUUAAAAAAAGAAUACAAGGUGUUGCCUUUCUGUUAGCAUCACAUCACAUGGCACUAGAUGGGUCGUGUCCCAUAAACAUUCGUAGGAUGAGUGGCAGGGGUGGAUCUAGUGUUGGUGCCGUGUGUGCCAUGGCACCUCCUCCAGAAUUGUAAAAUAAUUUUUCGUAUAUACCUAACACUAAAUAUUCAUCAAGUUUUUGUUAUUUUAAGACUAUUAUUGAGAUUAUGAUGAUGUUUAGUGUAAACGUUGAACCAUGGCACCCCAAGCCUGCGAUUCUAGGUCCGCCACUGACACGUGAGUACAUAGGUUGUUCACACGAGUCUUUUAGCACAUGAACAUCCGAAUAGUUGUAGUGGGCACAGUCGCGCAAAGCUGUCCCAGUUGGUUACUGCCACUAGACGGUACAAAGAGGUAAUAAGUUUGAAUUUCAAUAGCCGCAUCUAUGUUUUUAAUAUUAAAAACAUUAAUGGGCCGAGCCAAGGACGCUUGGAUAAGUUUAUUCACACAGUUGGGCUCCCCGAACUACGGCGUAAACGACGGGCAACCCACCCGACCAUACAUACGAAAGUGCUUUCUCAAAAAAAAAAAAAACAUACGAAAGUGUAUACAAUGAGCGAACCCUUUAUACGUUAAGCGUGGGGGUAGAUCGCUAGGUCUAGCGGACCGAGACAUAAGCGAUUCUCGGUCCACAAGCAAAGUGCCAUACAUUUUUCUCAAAAAAAGAAGAAGCAAAAUGCCAUACAUUUAUCUUUUGAUAAUUAAUUAAUUCAUACACAUAGCGAGAACAUGUUGAUAGUAAUCUGAUAAGAAAAUUCAAAGUUUAACUAUCAUUAUCAGCGCGGGCGAUUAAUCACGACCUACUGCGGCGACCAUGGGCUCCAAGUCCAUCUGACAACAGCACUUGUCUUCGGUGAAGCAGUGGGGAUUUUUUGUGAAACCAGUUUGAGCACAUAGAGGCACGCACUUGUCGCGCGUGCAUGGUACAUCAUAAACCGUAACACAGUAAUCUACAAUGGAAAAAUAUAUCAACACGACUAUAUUUUCAUAAUAUAAUUAAGAUCGUUUUGCAAGACGAAGGGAGUAGUUAAUUGUCUACCCACCUCUUUCAGCGUCACAGGAAAGCAUCACGGUGGCCAUCACCACCAUCACGGCUGCCAGGCAUGCAAUGCUUGUGUUUCUCUUGCAAAACGCCAUGACAAGAUGUAAGGCUACCACUAUCGCUGCUAUUUUUUGGAUGUUUGAUCUUCUUGUUAAUGUGUUCAAGGACAUCCCCUUCUGCUGGAGUUUAUAUAGAGGGGAGAAUUUUGGGACGGAGGGAGUAUUUAAUUACCCCGUAAUUUUAGCUGGACUUAAUGCAUUAAUUUUUUUCCAAUCUUCAAAACAUAAAAAACGAU